rnacentral:lncRNA from 1 species
AUGCAGGCAUUAUUCAAGAUAGGUAGGGGUGAACUUCCUCCAAUUCCUGACUCAGUAUCGAGGGAUGCCCGGGAUUUUAUUCUUAAAUGCUUACAAGUCAACCCUAAUGAUCGGCCUACUGCAGCUCAACUAAUGGAGCAUCCAUUUGUAAAGAGGCCGGUGCCAACUUCUUGGGGACUGCCUUCUCCUCAUCAUUUCAUCAUGCAGUCUUGAAAGCUUCUGAUUAUCCUCUGGCUUUCAUGUAUAGGUAGUCUAUCAUGACCCCAUUUAGGGCCUGUUUGGUAUUGUUGUAGGAUGGUUGUGGCUUCUAAGCCGAAUUGAAUUUCUCCCAUAGUUGUUUGAUGAAAAACUCAUAAUACAUACACUAAUUUUGUGAAAAUAUAAUUUAUGAAUCAUAUUAUUUAAACACAAUCAACUUCUAUAUCAUAAAUGCAUAUACAACACCAAAUAGACCCUUGGAUUAUUAAUUGCAUUUUGUACUUAGUGUUGAUGCUGAAAUCUGCUCGUCCUUGGACCGACCAGACUCGUUCACCAACGUUUAAGUUGUCAACUGCUGCAAGAACUGCUAAGGCUGGAAUUACCCUCCUUUCUCUCACUAGACCUGCGUUCACCAAAAUGGAUCAGAGACGCCGGUGGUUUUGCCGGCGUAAACCCUCCGAUGCCUAAGUUAGCACAAGGUGUUUACGGGAAAACGGUUAAAUUUAGAUUUAAGAAUGGCUUCUGAUUUUCUCAAAGUUUGUAGGAAAAUAGCCUGGUUUCAAUUUGGCAGAGUUUUUCUCUCUCUCAGUUUUUCUCCCCCUAUCUUCAUCGAUUUCUUCUUCUUUUAUAGCCGCCGUCCCCACGUUUCCGUUUGCCCUUCAUCCCCCCUUUUUCGGGUAGUGGUAGCCUCUCAUGGGGCUCUAACUGCUGCAUUAUGGGCAAACGUGGGACCUCGCGUCUCCCGCGAUGGUUCUGGGAAAGCGCAACUACCGUGAUUCUGUGAGAUCGUGUUUUCGCUUUUCGGGGGACGGGUACCGGCUCGGUGUGUGGCUCUGGUCAGUAUUCGUCUCUGAUCGGCUCAUGUUACCCCUGUUCUGCUCGUACCAUUUGGCUGAGGUGAUUCAUGCCGGGGUGGAAAUAGUAUCAUGGCCGACCUAGUGCUUUUAUUUGCUUAACACUUAGUUCCUUUUUGCAUUUAGCAGCAUCGACAUAAUGAAAAUAAUUGUUAAAUACAUUUAUAAAAUAUCCAUUUGGGUUUACAACUCCCACUCUCCAGCUUAUGGGGAGCGAGAAAUGGAGGAGCAAGAUUGUGAUGCGUCAAACGAACCCCAAUUCACAGAGUGAAGGAGUAUACAAGUGCCUCUAGAUGUUAUAAUGGAACUCCUUCCUAUCGAUAGCCGGCCAAACCUUGAGGGAUUCACAAUGGAUCCGGCUACGUUGCUUCUUAUACUAAUUUGCUUUAAGGUUAACCUGGCUACGUGUCCACAUGGUUAUUUUGUCAUUUGGUUCUAUUUCCUUUAGGAAUAAAUUCAAUGCUAGUGUUACUGUUGUUUAUUUUGCAUGUGCCUUUUGAUUGCAGGUAUGGGUAGGCCAGUUUCUAGUACUGUGGGUUAUGUUUGGUUGAAAAAAAUAAGAGGAGAGGAGGGAAAUAAAAAAAAGGAGAGAAUUGAGAAAAACAAAUGAAAGAAAAAGAAGGUUAGUUUCAAUUUCAUUAUUCUAUUUGAAUAAAUUAGCCUAAAUUGUAAUCCAAAAUUCAUGUAUUAAUAGUUCCCAUUUUCACAUGGAUUUAGAUAAAAUUAAACAACUUGUUAUACUCCAAAUUUGCUAUUAAUAUCAAAUUUUUACUCAAUGAAUUUUUUAAAACUUGUAUUUAAUUUAAGAUUAAUAUCAAAAUUUUAAUUCAACAAUUUAUUUUAACUAGUACGUAAUAUGAAAAAAAAAUUGAAUUAUUUCUUUGUAGUAAAAUUGACUAUUUUCCAUAAUUAGUAAUAUAAUUUUAAAAAUAAACUAAUUGAAUAAUUAUUGUAACUUUAUUAAAUUAUAUUUAACAUAGUUCUAUCUGACAUUAUACCAAACAAAAUGUAAUACUAUAUAAUUUAGUAUGGUCUAAUAUAAUUUGAUCCAAUUUAAUUCCAAAAAUUAAUCUUGUUCAAUCCGACGUUCUAAACUUAGCCUUCAUUCUUUCAAAUUUAAAUUAGGACACUAUGUUAGAUCUUUGGGACAAUUUUUUUUUCUUAAAUUACUACGAUCUAACACACAUGUCAUAAUUCAAUUGGCCAACACUAUCACAUCAGCAGAUGAUGUGGCCGUGUGGGCACUGGCACGACUUUUUUGUAUGUACACACAUUAUUAUCUAUUCAACACUCCAUUUUAGUACUGUUUUGAUUAUUUUGACUGUUUCGUGUGGAAGGGAAGAUGAACAAAGCUAAUAAUCCUCUCUUAAUCUUAAGUCUUAACAGCUGAAAAACAAAACAAAUUGAAAUGUUUUUCAACUCGGAAGAUUUCGAUGUGCUGCACCCAUGGAGAUCAGCACAACCUUCAGGGGAAGCCUUGAAACGAUGGAGAUCUGCCUGCGCUAUCGUCAAGAACCGCCAUAGAAGGUUCCAUUUGGUCACCAAUCUUUCCAACCAUGCCGAGGUCAUGGAUAACAAGCGCUAAAUAUAGGUUCUCUUUUACUCCCUACUUUCAUUCCUUUAUUAUUUUUCUUUGUUGAAACAGUUUUUGUUUUGAACAGAGUGCUAGUCAACUCUCAUAUUUUCUUUAACUAUAUAAUGAUAGGCUUACGAAUUAAGUUGGUGUGACUUUUAUCUUAAAUAGUGAUGAUUGUUUAUUAAGCCUUGUCACUUCUCAUUGGAAUAGUGAUUUCAUUGUGGUCAUGUAAUAGAAUCAACUCCUUUUUGUUAAAUUGUAUUAAUGUAGAGAGUCUUAGUACCUUAAGAAUUUAAAUGCAAUGUGAAUUGGAUCUGGAUUGAUAAAUGGUACAUUUUGACAUUGAACUUAUUAUUUCUAAGUCAGAGCUCUUUGUUAUGUUAUAGGAAAAAGUAAGAAUGUACUUUUUGUUCUUCUUAGCUCAAGACUCCAAGGUUGUUUUGUUCGCUAUUGAGGUGUUCUAACUUUUAAGAUACAGCUGUUGUGAAAAAAAUAAUAAUUAAGAAAUAAAAUCUACUAGUGUGUAGUAAAUAGAAAAUAUAAAUAAUAAUUUUGACAAAAUUAUAAAGGGAAAUUUACAACCGUCCACCUGUUUGUUUUCCAUUUUUCAAAAAUACACAAAUACUUUUUUUUUUUCAGUGCGCCACCUCAAGUUUGCUUUUUGUUGCAUUCGUCCACUUCCGUCUAAUUUCCGUUAGCGAAUUUAACGGAAUGACCUUUUUACCCCUCAAAAUUAUAAUUUAACCCAAAAUAAAUAGAAAUUGGAGAUAAAUUGGAUGGAUUUAAUUUUUUUCAAAGGUGGAUGCUAGAAAUUGGAGGAAAAUAAUGUUUGUUACUAAAUUUAGAAAAUUUGUAUUUAUUUUUUUGGAGGAAAAUAGUGUUUGUUGCUUGCUAGAUUUAGAAAAUUUGUAUUUAUUUUUUCUCUUUCAAAAAAAUAAAUACAAAAUUUUUAAAUUUAGCAAGCAACAAACACUAUUUUCCUCCAAUUUCUAGUAUACACCUUUGAAAAAAAUUAAAUCCAUCCAAUUUAUCUCCAAUUUUCAUUUAUUUUGGGUUAAAUUGUAAUUUUGAGGGAUAAAAAGGUCAUUUCGUUAACAUUCCGUUAAAUCCACUAACGGAAAUUAGACGGAAGUGGACGAAUGCAACAAAAAGCAAACUUCAGGUGGCGCGCUGAAAAAAAAAAGUGUUUGUGUAUUUUUGAAAAAGGCAAAACAAACAGGUGGACGAGUGUAAAUUUUCCAAUUAUAAAAUAUAUAAUAAAUUUUUCAUUAUACAAAUAAAAAAUCAUAUCAACAUAACUUUCAAGUUAUAGUAGUUACUGUUUGCUAAAUACUUUAAUAUUAUAUCUUUUUAAGAUACAAUUGUUCAAUCUCAAUCUCAAACGGAUCCUAAUAGUACAUCGAGAGAUAACAUCAAGAGAUAAUUAAAGAGAUGACCGAGGAGAGAGGGAAGACCAACGAAAAGGAAGGAUCUUGCCGAGCAUACCAUUACUUUAUGACUUCAAAAGAGUUUUAUAAGGAGAUUCUCACCUCUUCCUUUCUAUUUUUAUCACGAAGGACCUAUCAUCAAGGUGACAGUGACCAAGGCCGACUUAAAAGCAAAGGAGCUUGCUGAUGUUACAUGUUAUUUAUUUAUUAUUUUCUGAUGAAUUUGUAUCAUUGGAUAUAUUUGGUACCUAUGAUAGCAAGCCAAAAGUUAGCACCUACAUUUUUCAUCUACGAUAUUUUACAUAAGGUCCUCACCACCAAGCUGAUUUUGCCUCCUGCUAUUGCACAAAAAUUCUUGCAUCAAGAAACAAGAAUCUAUAGGUUACAGAUAUUAUACAUAGAAAAUGUUAAAAUUCUUUGAGGACCAGGAAACGCUGCAAAUACUUCAGGUUAAACACUGUUUUAUCUAUUGCAUGCAGGCGCACCGUAGGGAUGGCAAAAUCCGGGUCAUUUUCUUCUUUACGAAUUCGGAUUAAAAUCCGGUUUUUUUCAUCUGGGUCCGAAACGGGUUCAACCCGAAAAAUCCGGGUUUUCGGAUUCCGGGUUUUAAACUCGGAUCAAUGAAUCAGCUUCUAAAAUUCUAAAAAUAAAAUCUUAAUACAUUUCCAAUCAAUAACACAUCCGGAUUGUAAAUCAUCCAUAAACAAUACAAAUUUCUAAGGGGUUUUUAAUUAAAUACCCUUUAAUAGUUUCAAAUUAUUUAAAUACCCCCUCCCUUUUUAGUUUUCAUGGAUACCCUAACAAAUGUGAGCAAAGUCGGAAAUACCCUUAAUGAAUGCAUCAAAUUCACUCAAUGAAUUGUCUUCAUAUUUCUUUCCUCAUUUCUUUCACCCAAAUCUAUUUUUGCUGCCGAUUCUUUCAAAAUCUCUUAGAAUCUCUCAAAAUCUCUCAUAACUUCUUACACAAAUACAAUUAUGUAUUCAUUUAUUUAACACCCACUCUUUCUUUAAAGGUGCAUUGCUUAUUAAACAACCCAAUAAGGUAUGUUAAUGUUGUUGGGUUUUAAAUUUUUUAAUUUUUAGGAAAAUUUAGAAAUUUUCCUCACAUUACAAUGUUUUAUUUUCACCAUUUUUUCUUAUACGUAGAAAUAUAUGCAAUGUAGGUUGUUUAAUUAUUUUUUUCAGCAAUAUAACUUAUUUAUGGCGAAAAUGUUUCGAGUCGUGCAUUCUUUUGAUACCGUGUACGUCAUAUAGUUAGUCAUGUAGGUCGUGUAAGUAAUAUAGUCGUGUAAGUCGUGUAUGUAGGUCAUGUAAGAAAUAUAGUCGUGUAGGUCAUGUAAGAAAUAUAGUCGUGUAAGUCGUGUGAGUAAUAUAGUCGUGUAGGUCAUGUAGGUCGUGUAGUUACUUGUAUAUGAAAUUUAAUAUUAUUGUUUUUAUUGUAUCAUCAGAUAUGGUUUUGGUACGUGUGCCUAUUCUCUUCAAUGGUGAAUGGAUUGAGCAAAAUGACGAGUAUAAGUUCAAAGGUUCAAAGGCUAAAGGGAUAAUGAUACCACGAUCGACAACAUAUGCCGAAUUGGUGGAGAAGAUAGCUGAAGUUAUUGAUAUAGAUACUUCAGAAUUCGAAAUCACAAUGAAGUUCAAACUUAAGACAUCUGAUUGUAUGCCACCAGUUACAAUUCAAACCAAUGAUGAUGUGGAAUUUUUUUAGAUUCCAAUUUAAUUUCACUUCUUUUUUUAAUAAUUUUCGUUGACAUUUUCUGCACAGCAGCAAAUAUAAAUUCUUAGCACAAAUUAAGUCUUUAAAGAACUAAAUUAAUCUAAUGAUUAAUGGAAAAAUUCGUGUAAUUUUAAAGUCGCAAUUAAACAUAUUACAGCCAUUUAAAAAGUUUUUUUUUUUUUUUUAUCUUCAAAGUGCUUUCUUCCUCUGGCCAAGCAUACAAGCAUACAUGAGGAAUGCCUGCAUAUAAUUAAUCCAUGAAAUCAAUUAAGAAAAAAAAAUAUCAACUAGAGGAAAUUAAUGUAAUGUUAUACACAUAAGAACACCAUUCGCAGUGAUAAAAUAUUUCCACUCAUAACUAGACAUAUCAUGACUUACCAUGGCUUAUAAUUGGAAAUUAAGAAUCUCUCUAACUAAUGACAUUUCACAAGGUAAAGGUAUAUGCACCAUUCCAAUUUAUUGUGAGCCUAAUUAAACUAAAUGUAAUGUGUAGAUUCUAUUGACAAGAAACAAAAUGUGGAAUUGAAGGUCGUGUAAUUGUGUAAUACAAGAAGAUCGUGUAAUUGUAUAAUACAUGAAGGUCGUAUAAACAUGCAAUACAUGAAGGUCGUGUAAACGUGUAAUACAUGAAGGUCGUGUAAUCGUGCAAUACAUGAAGGUCGUGUAAUCGUGCAAUACAUGAAGGUCGUGUAAUACACAACCUUGAAUCUUACAUAACCUUACACGACCAAAUCUUGUGUUACAUAACAAAAUUAUAAUCAGCACAAUCCAUUAAUUUUUCACAAUUUGCAUGCAGCAAAACAACUAGAAAUUUGUUUUCGAACAUGUUAUGAGAGACCCACAACUAAUUAAUCUAUUUUUUCAAUAUAAAACCCUAACUUUUUAUUUUUUUCCCUUGAAUAUUAACAAGAAAACUAAUUACAUGGAAUUACUUGUCUCAACUAGUUACAUUCUGACAAUUUUGCAGUAAAUGAUAAACUCUCUCCGGCGAUUAUGUAGUGACGAACUAUGUUUCACUUUCUCAGUUGUGGCAGCUUCCCCUCAGGCUUAGUUUUCUCGUGUUGAAGUUCGAUUUACCAUGUAUGGAGAAUGAAUGUUUGUUUCGGUAAAGGUGAUGCCGGUGAGGGAAUUACAGUAUUUGUUUGAGUUUGAUAAUGGAGGGAAUUGCAGCAGAUGAGUGUUUGUUUGCUUCAGUAGAGAAGGGAGAGGUGUUGUCCGUUAAGUUGAAAUAUUUUAAAAUGAGGAUAGCUUAGUAAUUUCCUAUCAGUUUUUAAAGGGUAUCGAUGAAAAUUUUGGCAAAAACAGAUUUUAGGGUAUUGAGAUAAUUUUUGAAGUAUGGAGGUGUACCGGGCGCAAUUGGCACAAUUUCUAAGCAAUAACACAUCCAAUAAUAUAAAUCCAUAAAUGUCAAUAUUUCAAUUAAUAAAACAACCACAAAUAUUUCUCCAUCAUUUUCUAUGCAACUUGCAAACAGCGGGCUUGAUGUCUUGAAAGCGACGACCUUCUUGUCUUGCAUGAUGUCACAAAGCGAAAAUAAUUAGCACGUUAAUCCAAGGUAAAGCCCCUGUUUGUUUGCAAAGGAAAUGAAGGAAGAUCCAUGGAUUAGUUAAAGAUUAAUCCAGCCAUUUGGUCUCCUGCGGCCAAAUCGAAGAUGUAAACGAAUGGAGUUUAAGAGAGACAGAGAGCAGGGCAAACCGAAUGAAGGAGCGGCGUUGAGGUCGAAUUGCGAGCGAUCUGACAGAAGACGCAAGGUGUCGGCGACGGUGGCGAACCCGAGCUUGCGACAGCAGCAGCCUGGACCGAUGAUGAUGAAUAGGCACUUUUCCUGCAGCAGGCGACAGCUGCAACAUGAGGAAGAGGAAUAGAUAAAAUUAGGUUUUUUGUUGUUGUUUGUAUUUAUAUUAAUUAAUAAAUAUAAUUAAAAAAUAAUAUUAAAAUAAGAUAUCGGGUCCGAAUUUCGGAUAUACGGGUUAACUCAAAUUCAGAAUCGGACCCAAAUAUAUCCGGAUCACUAAAAUUCAUUCCGGAUACCGGACUUUUUACAUUCCGAUACGGGUUCAAACCGACCCGAAUUGUCCGGGUUCGUCCGGAUCCAGGUUAAACUGCCAUCCCUACGUGAUUGUGGAGAAAAAUUUACAUAGAUCAAUCCUAGAUAAUAGGUUAAUCAUUGAUGUUCUCUUAUUUAACAGAGCAGUGGGUUCUAUAAAUUUUUAAUAUUAAAUUUUGAGAGUUGUAAGUUGGAACCAACUUGUUGAGAUCGCUCAAUAGUACUCACUUGUGAUCCCGUAAUCGGACCUACUGAAGUGGUAGGACUAACUUAUCGAAGUCUUUUUGAAAUUGCCAUGUUCAUGUGGCAACCACGAAUCAACUGGCAAGCACCACCAAGUCAGCGGGUGAUCUGGUGGGAUUGGCACUACAGUAAUGGUAUUUAUCUCUGCCAACGUGUCGCCGCCAGAAGGGAAAGAAUAGGAGGAAUACCGACAAAUAUUCUAUCAUUUAUGUACAAACAAACACUUUAUUUAUUCGGGGUCGGGCUGUAAUGCAGCGCUGCAUGUCAUGCAGCUGCCUUUAUUAUUUUUUUAAUAAUGCGGAUGUAACCGGCCACCGAUACCCUCCUUUUAAUCGCUUAAAGCGGCAAAUGUUAAAAGAAACUAUCAUACAGCUCCCUCAUUUUAAGAAAUAUUAAGAUAAUCAAUUCAAAACUAGUAAAUUAUCAAAGACCCCCUCAACUUUACACCAAAAAAAUACUUCCUUUUUCUUUUGAUUCAUGGAAAAUAUAGUUAAUAUAUUUAACUUAUAUCCUAAAAGAAACAUAAUUAAAUAAAAUUAAUUGGACUAAUAUAUUUAAAUAAAAAUAAUUAUAUUAUUUUUGUUAAUAUUACAUUAUAAAUUUAAUGAUAUUUUGCUUUAAAAAAUGUAACUUAUGUACUAAUGAGAAUACUAUUUAAAUAUAAUAAAUGGAAAUAAUUAUAUAUUAAUUAAAAAAAAUUAAUUUAUUAAUUGCACUAUUUUUAAUAUUAUGUAAUAAAUGUAAUGAUAUUUUGCUUACAAAACUAUCAAAAUAAUUUUAUCAACUUUUAAUUACAUUAGAAUCCAAGUAUCUAAACAUAUAACGAAAUCGAUUUAUUUCCAGAUAUUUAGAAGAAAUCAAUUCCAGGAUCUCACGAUACACAUUCAGGGACUUAAAUCCCUACCUACUAAAAUGAGGACAAUAUUUAUCCAACUAUCAAAUAAUUAUCAUUCCAAACAUCGUAAUUACCCCUCAAAUGUUGUUGUUGUUAUUAUUAGUGGCCAAUAUUAGUAUGUUUUAUGUAUACCCUCUAAAAAAAAUAUUCAUAUAUUACAAAAAUAUAAAGCAUCUAAUAUUUGAUAUUUUUAAAUAAAACUCAUAAUCAAUCUCUUGUGCAAAUUAAUUCAUACUAUCUUAAGUGAGAUUAAUUAUUUUAUUUAAUCCUUUUUGCUAUAAUAAUUUUUUUGUUAAACAUUAAUCAAAUUCAUAAUGGUACAUAACAUGGAUAAUUACAAUUUGAAUGCAACUAAUAUUGAAUAAUGUUGUAUUAUGUUAUACUUAUAGUUAUAUAAUUUAAGCAUGACAGUUAUAUUUCUAAAUUAAAUUAAAUUAUUUGAGUAACAUUGCACUCACUAUAUGGGUACAUGAUUUGUCUACUAAAUGAUGUGCAAGUAUUAUAAAAUAUGUUCAAUCUUAAAUUUAUAUCUAUAUUUUUUUGAAAUUAAGUUAAUUUAUAUCACAACUAAAAAAAAUUAAAUUAUUUAAAAAUAUGAAAAAUAUAAAAUCAUUUACAUAGUAAGCAGUAUGUUUUACUAAAUUUACUUUUAAAACAUUUUAUGCCAUUGGGGAGAAAUAUAGUCUUUUAAAUUCAUUUUUAUUUAUACGUCUUAAGCUUGUUAUAAUCUUUGCCACAUGAAAUAUGUUUUCACUGUAAUUCUCGCUAAAUUUAAUUUAUAUACUUUUAUUCUAGUGGUAAAAGAAAUUGAAUUUGAAUAUAAUUUUUUCAAUUUAGUUUUUUUUAACUGAUUAAGCAUCAUGUUACUGUAUUACACAGAUAUUUACAACUGUUAUAACAGCAGAUUAUUACACUGAUAUUUACAAUUAGAUAUACAAAUUGAGACUUAUAUUAUUACAUUUUAAAUUCUAUGAAGUAAGUGCCCAAACAAAUAACCCUCACGGAGGAGGAGUGUCUCCACUCCACUUGUAUUUCGUAAGGGAGAAAAACUUUACAAAUAAUCUCCAUAUAAUUAUGUUUAAUUAAGGGAGUUUGAGUUUAUGGGGACUCGAACUAUUGCCUUCAUAGUCAUGUUUUACUUUAAUGGUGUGUUUACUUCAUGGAAUGGGGAAUGAGAAUGAAGGAAUAAGAAUGAAACCUAUGUUUACUUGGCAAAAUGUAAUUUGGGAAUGUGAAUAAAAUGUAUGGGUCCCACACAAUUUGGGAAUAAGGAAUGGGAAUCCCAUUCCUGGGGGUUGGGAAUGUGAAUGAAAUAAAUGUUUACUUUUGUAUUCCUCUAAUUUUUUCAUAUUUUCUAAAUUACCCUCAUUCAAAUCACAAUUGAUUUUAUUAUUUUAAUUUAUUAAAAAUUUUAUUAUUAUUUUAAAUGUCAUUAAUAAUAAUAAUAAUUAUUAUUAUUAAAUUUUAUUAACUUUAUUAUUUUAGUUAUUAUUAAUUAUUUUUAUUUUUAUUAUUAAUAUUAUCAUUAUUGAAAAUAAAAAUAAUGAUAAAAAUAAUAAUUAAUAAAAAUAAUUAAUUUAUCAUUAUUGUUAUUAUUAUUAAUAAAAAUAAUAAUAACAAUAAUUAAUAAUAACUAAAAUAAUAAAGUUAAUAAAAUUUAAUAGUAAUAAUAAUCUAAUUUUCAUUAUCUAGAUAUAAAAAUGAUAUUAAUUAAAAAAUAAUAAUAAAUGUUAAUAAUAAUAUUAAUAAAAAUAAUAUUAACAAUAAUUAAUAAUAAUUAAAAUAAUAAAGUUAAUAAAAUUUAAUAAUAAUAAUAAAUGUUAAUAAUGAUAAUAUUAAUAAAAAUAAUAAUAACAAUAAUUAAUAAUAACUAAAAUAAUAAAGUCAAUAAAAUUUAAUAAUAAUAAUAAUAAAUGUUAAUAAUGAUAAUAUUAAUAAAAAUAAUAAUAACAAUAAUUAAUAAUAACUAAAAUAAUAAAGUCAAUAAAAUUUAAUAAUAAUAAAUGUUAAUAAUAAUAUUAUUAUUAAAAAUAAUAUUAACAAUAAUUAAUAAUAACCAAAAUAAUAAAGUCAAUAAAAUUUAAUAGUAAUAUUAUUAUUAUUAUUAUUAUUAUUAUUAUUACUAUUAAAUUUUAUUGACUUUAUUAUUUUGGUUAUUAUUAAUUAUUGUUAAGAUUAUUUUUAAUAAUAAUAAUAGUAAUAAUAACAACAACAAUAAUGAUAAUAUUGUUAAUAAUGAUAAAUUAAUUAUUUUUAUUAAUUAUUAAUACUAUAAGUAUUUUGGUAAAUUGAUUUUCAUUCACAUUCCUCAUUCCCAUUUAUUUUGUCAAGUAAAUACAUCAAUGACAUUUCAGCACAUUCUCAUUCCCAUUUAUUUUUGCCGAGCAAACAUUAAAAUCGCAUUCCUAUUCCAACUCAUUCUCAUUCCCAGCCCAUUCCUAUUCUACCACAUUCUCAUUCCAUGACGUAAACGCACCAUAAGGUCAAUGGUUCACCACUGGGCUAAAGCCUAAGUGGCUAAUUUAGCUUAAUAACAACUAAAUUUACUCCCAUGGAUUCAAACAUCAACUAUUUUGUUUUUAAUUCAAAUGAUUUACAACUGCAUUAAUUAGUACCCACAACGUGAUUAUUAAUAUACUUACAAAGUAAUACAUCUCAUCUAUAUUAAAUCAUCAAUAUAUUUGUAGAAAAUUAAUUUUAUAUUAGCACAAAAGUUUAAAAUAUAUCUUUUUUAUGUAAAAUUUAUACAUAGAAAAAUUUUGGCAAGUAAAACUACCGCCUCAAUGAAAAUAUUAUUUACAAAUUACAAAAAUGAAUUUUUAGAUUUUGAAUGGUCACAACAAAUUUAUCCGUGGAAGUUUUGUCAUACAUCAUCACUCUUUUGUAACUUGCAAAAAUCAAUUGCAUAAUCAAAAUGUUAAUGAUAUCUUAAUAAUCUAAAAGAGUGCAAAAAUAGCGUAGGACAUAUGUACAUUCUUAUUAUAUUUAAUUAUAAAUCCCACAGGAUAUGAUACUAAUAAUAAUAACUGUAGUAAUAUCCAACAAGCACAAAGAAAAAAAAUAGAGAUGCUCAACUAAAAUAGAUUAACUAAGCUUUAAUCUUGUAAAUUAAAGUAUUUUUGUAACUUAACUUAUAUCAUCAUAGCUUUAGAAGCAUAGCAAUUGCAAUCCUUCUUACUUGUUAUUUAUUUAUUUACCGUUGACGUUAUGAAAAACUAAAGCAAUUAAUUUGAAAAGUAAAGAGAAAGAUGAAAAUAAAUGCAUAGAUUUAUUUUUAAUAUAAUUAAACGCUAUUAAUUAAAAUGAUUACAAUGAGAAUAGAUAUGUAUAAAAGUUAAAAGCUCAAGUAUACAUACAAUCAAAUUCAAAAGAUUGCAUGAAGUAAUGAAGAUGAAAAAAAAAAGGACUUAGAUUAUGGACUCAAAAUGUUGAAAAUGAUGAAGGGUUGCAAUAAAAAAAUUCUUAGUAUUAUGUGGUAAAUUGAUAUUUGUUAAAAUAGUAAGGGGUCAACCAUAAUUUGCCUUAUUGAUAUUAUUGUUAUUUUCAACAAGUAAUUUAUUAUUAGUAAAAAAAUGACCUGAAACAUGUACUGGUAGUGUUGGAAUAUAAUAAAAAUAAUAGGAACAUAAAAUCAUUAUCAGAGUUUAACAAGAGUUGAGGAGCAUAACUUAAAAGUUUGAAGAACUUAACAAAAAUCUGAUAAAGUUUAAUAAUAAGUCGAGAUCUAGAAAAUAAACUUGAAAUAUCUAAGUAAAAUGUUAGAAAUCAAUUAAAAGAGUUGGAAUACAGAACCAAAAAGUAGUGGGAACAAGAGUAGAAGAAGUUAACCUAAAAGUUGAAAUAACUUACCAUGAAUUUGAUAAAUUCAAACGCGAAGUAAGGAUCUGAAAAGUAAAUUUGACAUAUUUACCCAAAAUUUGAAAUUCAAUGAAAAGAGUAGAAAUAUUGAACAAAAAAGUGGUGAAAAAAUAAGUUGGAACAACUUAGCGAUAACUAGAUAAAGUCUAACAGGAUAUAGAGAUAUAAAAAAUAAACUUGAAAUGUUAACCUAAAAAUUUGAAAUUUACUAAGAAGAGUGGAAAUAUAGAACAAAUAACUGGUGGAAAAAUGAAUUGAAACAACUUACCAAGAAUUUGAUAAAUUUUAACGGAAGGUGGGGAUCUAAAAAUUAAACUUGAAAUUUCCAAACAAAAAGUGAGAAUUCAAUAAAAAGAGUAGGAAUAUAAAACCAAAAAGUGAUGGAAAAAAGAGUUGAAGAGGUUAACCUAAAAUUUGGAAAGAGUUACCAAGAAUAUGAUAAAUCCAACAAUAAUUAGGGAUCAAAAAAUAAACUUGAAACAUUCACGAAAAAUACUUAAAUUCAAUGAAAAGAGUAGAAAUGUAGAACAAAAAAAAUGGUGGAAACAAGAGUUGAGGAGUAUAACCUAAAAGUUCGAAGAACUUAAGAAGAAUAUGAUAAAGUUUAACAAUAAGUUGAGAUCUAUAAAAUGAACUUGAAAUAUUUAACCAAAAUAUUAGAAAUUAAUUAAAAGAAUUGGAAUACAAAAACAAAAAGUAGUGGGAACAAGAGUGGAAGAAGUUACCCAAAAGUUGAAAUAACUUAACAAGGAUUUGAUAAAUUCCAACGCGAAGUAGGGAUCUAAAAAGUAAAUUUGACAUAUUUACCCAAAAUUUGAAAUUCAAUAAAAAGAGCAGAAAUAUUGAACCACAAAGUGGUGGAAAAAUAAGUUGGAACAACUUAACGAUAACUAGAUAAAGUCUAACAGGAUAUAGAGAUAUAAAAAAUAAAUUUGAAAAAUCAACCUAAAAAUUUGGAAUUCAAUAAGAAGAGUGGAAAUAUAGAACGAAUAACCGGUAGAAAAAUGAAUUGAAACAACUUACUAAAAAUUUGAUAAAUUUUAAUUGAAAGUGGGAAUUUAGAAAUUUAACUUGAAAUUUCCAAAUAAAAUGUUGGAAUUCAAUAAAAAGAGUAGGAAUAUAAAACCAAAAAGUGGUGGAAAAAAGAGUUGAAGAGGUUAAUCUAAAAUUCGGAAAGAGUUACCAAGAAUAUGAUUAAUCCAACAAUAAUUAGGGAUCAAAAAAUAAACUUGAAACAUUCACGAAAAAUACUUAAAUUCAAUGAAAAGAGUAGAAAUAUAAAACAAAAAAAAUGGUGGAAACAAGAGUUGGGGAGCAUAACCUAAAAGUUCGAAGAACUUAACAAGAAUAUGAUAAAGUUUAACAAUAAGUUGAGAUCUAUAAAAUGAACUUGAAAUAUUUAACCAAAAUAUUAGAAAUCAAUUAAAAGAAUUGGAAUAAAGAACCAAAAAGUAGUGCAAACAAGAGUAGAAGAAGUUAACCCAAAAGUUGAAAUAACUUAACAAGAAUUUGAUAAAUUUUAACAGAAAAUAGAGAUCUAAAAAUUGAACUUGAAAUUUCUAAACAAAAUGUUGGAAUUUAAUAAAACGAGUAGGAAUAUAGAACCAAAAAGUGGUGGAAAAAUAAAUCGAAAUAAUUUACCAAAAACUAGAUAAAGUUUAACAAAUUGUAGAGAUAUAAAAAUAAACUUGAAAUAUCUAUCCAAAAAGAUGGAAGUUGAUGAAAAGAGUGGAAAUAUAGAACCAAAAGCUAGUGGGAAAAUGAGUUGAAACAACUUACAAAAAUUUAGAUAAAUCAUUACUAGAAAUAGGAAUUUGAAAAGUAAACUUGAAAUAUGCAUUAUAAAUAUUGGAAUGUGACAAAAUAAGUAGGAAUGUAAUCAUUUUGUGAUAUGUUUAUAUUUUUUGUACUAUUUUUAAAUUUUAAAUUAUUACAAUCUUUUUCCUUAUUUAAUUAAAAUUUUACUCUUUUUUUUUCCAAAUUUUUUCAUAAUUUUUUCACAUUAAAAAUAAAUAAAAAUAUAAUUUUUAUUAUAUUAUCCGGUUAAAAACCGGUUGUACCGGUUGCAUGCAUGUGCUGUAUGAGAUACAGCACUGCAUGGUAGGUUGACUCAUUUAUUCGACACUCCUGUUUUGACUGUUUCGUCUGACAGAGAAGCUGGAGAAGGAUAAUAAACCUCUCGCGCUCGGUCACUCUCAACUGAGCAUGUCUCUAUGUACGGACCCUUCAUCGCGCCUCGUCAAUAACAUGCCGAUUGCCAUGAGAAGAAAGCUACUACUCCCCUCAAUCUUAACAUAACAGCUGAAUAACAAAACAAAUUGAGAUGUUUUUCAAUUCAGAAGAUUUCAAUGUGCGGCCACGGAUACCUUUUCAACCGUCGGACGAAGCCUUGAAACGAUGGAGAUCUGCCUGUGCUAUGGACAAGAACCGCCGUGGAAGGUUCCGUAUGGUCGCCCGUCUCGCCAACCAGGCCGAGGCCAGGGUUCACACUUUCGAGAUACGGGUCCUAUUUUACUCGCUACUCUCAUUCCUUAUAUUAUUUUUCGUUGUUGAGACAGUCUUGUUUUGAACAGAGGGUUAGUUCAACUCUCAUAUUUUCUUUAAGUGUACAAUGAGGCUUACAAAGAUCAGAUAAUAUUUUUUUUUUAAUCCCGGAUGGUGUGACUUUUAUCUUAUAUGAUCAUUUGAUGAUUAGUUGUUAAGCCUUGUCACUUCUCACCCGAAUGUAGAGAGUUUCAGUACCUUGAAAAUUUAAAUGCUGUGUGAACUGGAUCUGGAUUGAUAAAUGGUACAUUUGGACAUUGAAUUUAUUAUUCCCAACUCAAGGCUCUCAGUUGUGUUACAGGAUAAAAAAAUUAUUUCACUUAGUGUUCGAAAAGCUGCGUCGCAGUUUAUUGAUGAUGUGCCAUCAAGUGAAUGCGCUGCGCCCCACGGUCCACAUUAUUUUCAAAAAGCUGCACUUGAUUUUACUAGAUCACUUGACGAUGCGCCGUUAAGUGAAUACCACGCCAAAGCUAGAAGAUUUCAAGAAUUUGUUGAUGACAUAGGAUCCACCAUCAAAGGCCAUAAUUUAAAGAUACCGAAACGUACAAAUGCAGUGUUUUCCCUCCGGGUAGGGAAUUUAUUAACUUAUCCUGUAUUGAAGGCAACAUCCUUUGGGGUCUGUCUUCUCAGUCAUCUUGUGUUCAAAGCAUUUUCAUCCGUGCGGAAUAUAUUUAGUAAUCUUUUGUUGGGGGUCGCAUUUGUAUGACAUAAAUUUCAAUAUUAUAUGUCAUUUUGUAAAUACAUUGUGACCCUUGCUGCCAAAGUUAGAAGAAUGCAAGAAUGUCUUAAUGAUGCAGAAUACGUUUCACAUGAUGAUGAUGAUUCUAAAGAUCAUCCAAUUAGCAUAAUUAUGGAACCGGUUUAUAAUGUCUCUCCGAAUGGGAAAUUUAGAAGAAAAAUAACGUCAUGGCAAAAGGGUGACCCUUUGGGAAGUGGGUCAUUUGGGUCUGUGUAUGAAGGCCUCACUGAGUAAGUGAAAUCUGUUCCUGUGUUAAUGUUCUUGGAACUUGUGAAAAGGAGUUUUAUUGUUCUGAUUGUAUUUCAAUAUCCAUUUGGUUACAUAGCCUUAUUGAUAUGUACCUGCUGAAGGUUUUUAAUAAGUUAAAAAGGAUGUACAAUGUUGGUUUAGAAGGAAGUUUCUAUGAACUUAUUGAAUACCUUGUCUGCUUUCUGAAUGAUAAUACAAGAAAAGUGAUAGACUUCAUGAUGAGACCUCAAUGGGAUUUUGGGUAUGCUACUUGUAAAUCUACUCAUCUUAUUUCUCAAGAUAGUCAUGCAAGAUGAAUUCAACUUCGUUUUUGAGGCAGAUAAAUUUGAUGAUGAGCUAGACUGGAUAUUCUUUUGCACAUUCCUACUUGAAACAAUUAACUUUUGCAACUAUUUUACCAUUUUCUUCUAAAUAUUUCUAAGGUUUUGAGGUGUAUUUUAUUUGUUUUGCAAUGAAAGCGGUUAGGAUUAUAUUUAUGUGGUCAGGCUUAAAAUGAUUAACUUGGCCUUGUUUACUAUCUUUGAUAUGCAUGUUUAUUUGCAAGCAUCCACGAGCAUGUACUUAUUUUUUCAGCAACUUCUCUCAUGCUUUCUGGUUUGUUUGCAGUGAUUCUUUUUUGCUGUGAAGGAGGUUUCUUUGCGGGAUGAAGGACCUCGGGGAAAGCAGAGCAUUCUUCAACUUGACCAGGUGGGAUGAUUAGUCUUGUCCUGCUGGAAGUCCAUUACAUAUUAUUCUGCAGUCUUUUUCUCUGCUUUAAACUACAAAUCAUGCAGUUGCAUAUUUUUUUUCUGCCUCUAAAUAGCUAUGUGACAAGAUCAUUUCUCUAAUAAUAUGUUUAUUGGCUCAGGAAAUUUCUCUUUGAGUCAGUUUGAACAUGACAACAUAGUUCAAUAUCUUGGCACAGACAAGGUAUGCGUCUAACCUCAGUGCUUGCAUUUUCGCCUUUCAUUUUCUCAUAGUAAUAUUUGUGAAGUGAGAUUCAGAACUGUGUGCUUGUAAUGACAUUUAUAGACCCCUAACACCUAUGAUUUUGCUGGAAUUUGAAGCAUUGUGUAUUAAUGCAUGUUAUUGACUUUAGCACUAUUUGAGUUUUUUUUUUCUCCUCUUUUAAGUGAAAUUAUACUGUCGUUGUCCUUAUCAUUAACAUAAUCGAUUGGAUUAAGUAGGCAUACUUGACAGGAAAUACUUUAGAAUCAAAGUUUUAUGCUACAAUUAAAUCGCCAGUAUUCCCAACUAUCCAUAUACCUGCGAGGAACUCUAUUAUUGCCAUCUUUAAUUUCUUCCUGCUACAUUUAGUUGUGCAAUUCAUUAUUAUCUGGCAUUCCAGUAUACAUAAACCUAUCUUAUUUGUUAAAGUACAGAAAGAACAAGGAACUUCCCACUAGUCCUAAAUUUGAAGAAAAAUGCAGCCCUGUUGCACACUUUGUGUGGCAUAUUAACUAAUUUUUUGAAUUUCUAUGAAAUUUGUCUCUGUUAUAUUGAAUUGUCCUUUUACAUCUGGUUGUUUAGGUGUGCUUAUUUCAUUUCUGGCUCUUUAAUUCUAAGUCACCAAAUGAUUCCAGGAUGAAAAUAGGCUUUAUAUAUUCCUUGAGCUUGUAACGAAGGGUUCACUUGCAAAUCUUUAUCAAAAGUACCACUUGAGUGAUUCUCAAGUCUCUUCAUACACAAGGCAGAUCCUGAAUGGCUUAACAUAUCUUCAUGAGCGGAAUGUGGUUCACAGGUGAUAUAAUUGGUUUGGCUGCUAUAUUCCCAGUUCCUUCUCCUUAUCAUGAUGUGUCCUCUCAAUAUUCUACAUUUUAUGUCAAGAUGUCUCAAUGCAAAUAGAUGUAGCAUUGAUGAUUGUUUAUGCAGAUAGGAAGUCAGUUCUUUCUCUUGCUGUUUGUUUGCAAUAUGUGAUUAUUUAUACAUUCAUUUUCUUUCCAAAAGUGCAGCUUUUUGGAGCUCAAUCUUUAAAACUAGUCUAGAAAUAUGCAUAUUGUUAAGCGUUUCUAUUGCUGAUACUUCAUAUAAAAUUUCCUGAUGGUAUUAGAAAUAAGAUGUUGCAGAGGAAAGAUUGAGAAAAUUGAUAGAAACAAAGAGAAAAAAAACGUAUAAGAGCAUAGAAAUAACACAAUAGCGUUUAAGGUGGUAGGAUGUUCUGUAAACAGCUAACCACGUUGAAUAUGCAUUUUGAAGAAAUAAUUGCAAUCAUAACCAUUUGCAGAUAGUUUUAAUCCCCCACAAGGAAAAUUACAUUCUCAGUUGCUGCAAAUCAUGGAUAUUGGUUUCAUUCAAGGUUAAACAGAAGAUAGCAAUAACGGAGGUUGUUAUUUGGAAUUGAGGGAAAGUUUGCUUAACUGAUAGCAUCUUGCAAGUGUUAAUCAUAACUUAGCAGCUGCAGAGUUUCAACAGAAUAAUAAUGUGGUAUCUUCUUAGUGCAUGUACUGGGGAUGAAUUUAUAGACAAGGCAAAUCUCAGCUGAUGAGAGUAAGAAAUUCUUCUCUCAGCAAAAUGUUAUAAAAAUGCUCAUUCAGAUAGCUCACUGAUUGUUUACAGACUCAUGAAAAUUGUUAAAAAGCGUGUGGAGAUGAAUGAAUUUUUUUUUAAAGAGAAAAAUUGAAAUUCAUUUCCAGACCAGGUACAUCGCUGGUCUAUCUUCUGGGCUAAUAUAAUUGUGGCAGGUGAACUUAGCAAUGACACUUGAAAGUUGCUUUUGUUAUACUAUUUUAAGUAUAUCUCUUUUAAAAUUUGUCUCUUUUCAUUUUCAAGGGAGAUAAAAUGUGCAAAUAUAUUGGUACAUGCUAGUGGAUUAGUAAAACUUGCGGAUUUUGGGUUGGCAAAGGUAGUUAAUCUCUCCCCUUCUUUGUAAAACUCGUGAAUGCUACUGUACUUGAUGCAAUAUAUUUGAGCUUUUCAGGAAACUACAACGAAUGAUGUCAAAUCGUUCAAAGGAACACCAUUCUGGGUGGCCCCCGAGGUUUUCCUCUACUCUUGUAGUCUGAUUUAUAUGGACAAAAUUUUAUCUAUUUUCUCAAUGUCCAUCAUUUAUAACCGAAUUUGCAUGGUCUCAAGGUUUAACUGAUCUACUUGUUUAUAACCAUUGAUCUUUUGAUCAUUUUCAAAUUUGAUAGCUCUGAGACACAAAAUCUGAUUUUUCUUUUUACACAGCUCAAGUGCAACUUUUUAGCUUGACAUGUUUGGCAGAGUCUUUAGGAGGUUAAUUUUUGAAUUUGACACUACUAUGUUUCUGUUAUUUUCCUUUUUUCAUUUUUCCAUAGCUUGGGUUUUGUAUGGCUUUAAAGAUUGUAAAUCAGAUCCUCUACCUUCUUCCAUUUGAGUUUGGAAACAUUUUCUGCUCACUGUCAUUUGAAGUUGAUGAGAAGAAACCUCUCUUUAUUUUAGGUGUAGAUAAUUCUAGUUAUAUAGUUGGUAUUGGUACACAUUUAUCAAAAUAUUACCCAGUACUCACACCAAAAACCUGGAAACUGACUCUUAGUAACUGGUAAUCAUCUUUUCAUAUAUCAAAUUGACAAGUACCAAAUAUGUUUCUAUUAGACAUUCCAGGUUAACAAAAUUAGUUUUGCAUUUUAGGUUGUGAAUUUAAAGAACAAUGGCUAUGGACUAUAUGCAGAUAUAUGGAGCCUUGGGUGUACUGUGUUGGAGAUGUUAACGCGCCAGCCUCCAUACUCUCACUUGGAAGAUGUAAGUAAAAAAAUUUCAUGCAUUAAAAUUGGUUUGCUUUCCCUAAUUCUCCAUGUUUUAUUUUAUAUGCUUAUUUUUUCUUGUUAAACAUCUUGUGAUUUGAAAAAGGUUGUGUAGUUUUGUGUGUUGGCAGAUGCAAGCAUUAUUCAGAAUCGGCAGGGGUAAACUUCCUUCAGUUCCCAACUCAUUAUCGAGAGAUGCCUGGGAUUUUACUCUUAAAUGCUUACAAGUUAACCCAAAUGAUCGGCCUACUGCAGCUCAACUAAUGGAGCAUCCGUUUGUAAAGAGGCUGCUGCAAACUUCUAGGUGACUUCCUUCUCCUCAUUAUAACAUCAUGCAGUCUUGAAAGUUUCUGAUCAUCCUUUGGGGUUUAUGUAUAUCUUAGAGGUAGUCUAGCGGUAUCAUCAAAUUUAAACUGCAACCUGUGUUUGUAGGUUUGACUUCCCGUUUGGGUUUAAUAUCAUGGACAUACUGAAAAUAAUUGUUAAAUGCAUUUAUAAAAUAUCCAUUUGGGCUCGCAACUUCACUUGCAAGCUUAUGGGGAACUGAGGAAUGGAGGAGCAAAAUUGUGAUGCAUCCAACGGCUGCCUUGGUGAUCCAAAUUCACUGUAUGAAGGGAAUAUACAAGUGCCUCUAGAUGUUUUAAUUCAACUCUUUCCUGCUGAUAACGGGGCAAACCUUGAGAUAUUCACAUUAGAUCUGGCUGCUUUGCUCUUUAUACCAAUUUGCUUUGAGGUUAACGUGCUUGUCAACAUGGUUAUUGUGUCAUCUGAUUCUAUAUCCAUUAGGAAUAAUUUUUUUUUUUUUUUUUUUAUUGUUUGUGUUGCUCUUCUUUAUUUUGCAUGUGCUCUUUGUUCAAAGGCGUGGCCAAGCGAAUUGCUAAUACUUUCAAGAGCUUUGAGAUGAGGCACAUGUGGUGUUAAUACAAUGCUAAGCAUCUUUUUGCCGUUAAAUCGACCUGCCAGGCAAUUCUUGGCACUGAAAACAGAGACGGUGCAUUCUUGGUGAAUAUGCACAAGGCACAACUGCUCAUGAUGCAAAAUCUGAGAAACUGAGAUGGUGCACACAUUCUUUCAUCGCUCAUCAACCUCCUAAAGACAGACCAGUGGCAUUUAAAUUGCUAGGUUUCCUUCCUUUCUUGUGGGCUAGGUUUUUUCUGUUACGAUUUUCUUUUCUUUGGCAGAGUGUUUGACAUCAAUUUGGUGUAAAUAACUCUUUUUCAAGAAGUAAAAAUCGGUACUUGUGAAAUUUAUAUGUUGCAUAUUAUGGACCGCUCAAAAGGUGAACUCUGCAAUGUAUGUUUAUGCAUACGCUGAGAGUUUGUUCAUAUGAAGAAACAGAUGAAGUAUAAAUAUGUUGUUAGAUGCUGAUAUUUUGUGGUCUUUUUGGCUUUUGGGAAUCAUAAAAUGGGUUGUUUAUGCAUACACUACUUCCAGCUGUGCCAAGAAGAAAACUGAAAUGCUGUUACCUUGGAAAUUUCUUCCGGACGAAGCAUUGUAAAUUUCAGUUUUAGCAGUAAGCAAUCCCUCUGCCUCUGCUAAGCCACUCAACCUAUUGUUUCAUUUUCUUUUUUAUUUAUUUUUUAAUUCUUUUUUUUCUUUUUUUAUUUACCGAAACGAGUAAUACUAUUUUUGCGCAUAAAAUUACAUGUAAAUUCGUACAAGAUCACCCAAGACAAACACAAGAUAUAGAAGAUACUAGAAGAUAAAUUUACUCAGGUUAUUAAUUUUUGCUUUAAAAAAAUUAUUCAUGGCUGUAUGUCGCCGCCUCCCACUUUUCCUACACAUUCCUCAUUCUAUCUGUCACGUGUAACACAACAAACUUUUUACAGUUAUAAACCACUGUACAGUUAUAAAGCACGCAAGGACAAAGGAGAGUGUUGUUUUUUUUUUUAUUCCAAGCGAAAUGGAUAAAGAAAAGUCAGGAGUACGGGCACUUGUUUUGACAAUCAACAUCUCAACACUGUCUUACUCGGGAAUAUCCACGUUGUCCACCUGAAAAAGAUAAAUUAAAUAAAGAGAAACCUGUUUGUUGUAUUAUUGUCUGCAAAACGGUAAACAAAAAAAAAAAAAAAAAAACAGAGAGAAGAAUUUUUUUUUACAGCGCAAUGAGAAAACAAUUGAGCGAGUUAUUGAAUUCGAAGGACUUCGAUGAUGGUCCGAAAAUUGGGUCGGAGAAGACCUUGAGAAGAUGGAGAUCUGCCUGCAAUGGCCGCAGAAGCUUCCAUAAGCUCGCCGGUCCCGACGAUCGUCUCAAAUUACAGGUGAAUUAUUCCUUUAAUUUCUUUAUUUUUUUUUCAAUUAUUAGUUAACUUAUGAGUCAAGUUCAUUUGGGUUACCUUUAUUGAUUUAUUUAUUUAUUUAUUUUAAUUAUAUAAGUAAUUUUUGUAUUUACUUUUUUAGUUGUUUGUCUAAUUUCGUUGGGGUUAAUGCCUAAUGGGAAACUUUUAAAAUCAACACUCAAGAAUUUAAAUGCAGAGUGAAGGGUAAAGGUGAAUAGUACUAAAUGAUUGAACUUACGAUACCAAACUAAAGGCUUUCUGUGUGUUAUAGGAACAAUCUAGAGUUUAAUAUGUUGUCCAAAAGCUGUACUUCACUUUACUGAAAAUGUGAGUCUGCAGUCAAAUGAAGAUGUGCCAUCAAGUGAAUACAUUGUGAUUGAGGCUGAUACCGAAGCUAGAAGAUUUCAAGAACCCAUUGAUGAUGAUGGAUCCACAAUCAGUGGCCUUCAUGUAAUGAUAAUUCACACUGAAACUUUUGUUCCUCACUCGAAAUUCAAUUUAGAAUACCGAACUAAAUGUCGUCUCUUUGUGUUACAGAAACAAGUUAGGGUUUCAGUUGUCGUUCUAAAAGCUGUACUUCACUUUACAGAAAGUCCGAGUCUGCGUUCAAAUGAAGAUGUUCCAUCAAGUGAAUACGUUGUGACCGAGGCUGCCACCGAAGCCAGAAUAUUUCAAGAACCCGUUGAGGACGUUGGAUCCACCGUCAAUGGCCAUGAGGUAAUGAUAAUUUAUACUGAAACUUUUAUUCCUCAAUUCAAUUUUCAAAUAUCAAAAUAUGCUCUUUUGAUAUUUGAAAAUCUGAAAAUCGCUCAAGUAUCCGUUUUCCUGUUUGGAUUUGGAUACAUCGAGAUAAGAACAUUAAAGUUUUGCAUACAAUUGGCCUCCAAUUUCUGAGAUUAAAAAUUUUAACUUAAUGAACGACAAUACAAUCUCAUUGAUUGAUUUAUAACUGCAUUCUUUGUAUAUUACAGAUUUUUGAGCUACUUGGUGAAUAUGAGAAACGUGCACUUGCUGUGUUUUAUCUUGUGUUGGAAGCGACAUCAUUUUUACUGGAUAUAUUUGGGAAAAGUAAGAAGAGCAUCCUUCUUGCUGCAUUUCUAUUGUCAGCAUUUGGUUUUGCUAUUACUAUGAGUACGCAUGUGAGAAGAAACAUAGCUGCAACCAGAAUGCAUUUACAGAAGCGACUACUUAUGGUGUUGGAAAUAUCUUUCUCUUUGGUCCAGUUGAUUGUUACGCUUAUUUAUUUUAUUCUGGCGCAAUUGGGUGUAAAGAACAAUUUCAAUACAUCUGUUUUCCCGCUGGUCUUUGCUAUAAUUACUGCUGUGUUUACUUUCAAGUAUGAUGGGGAAGUUACUGAUUCAUCAGGCCCCGACAGUGCGCUUGUGGCCCUAGCUGCUGGUAGUCAGGUAUGAUUCUGAACACAGUUGUAAUCAUCAAGCUGCACUUGGUGAAUUCGCAUAACUUAUCACCUCUAUGACUAAUAAUUCCUACGAAUAUAAAGAAAACUGCAUGAGACUCUAAGCUUCUGCAGUAUUGUGGAAAGAAGGAAAUAUAAAGAUUGUGAGAUUGCAUUGUGUAAGUCAAUAAUUUAGUCAUAUGAGGUCUAUAAAAGAUUGAUUUAACAAUUUGUAUGUAUAAUGCUACGGUGUCUGUAGAUUUAGAAAUCCUCUAUGCAAUUAACGAUUAUUAUAGCAGUAUGGCCAAAUCAGUACAGAUACCAAAUCUUUGAUAGUUUGCAUCUUUUUAGGUUCAUAUGCCAAAUAUCACUCGCAAUGAGGAUCCAGAAGCAAACGGCAGCAUGCCUAUGUUGGCAGACUUCCGAUGAUUAAUGAAGAUGCUUUUGAGAAACGAGGUCCAUAUGCUUGUUCUUCACUCUGCCUUCAGGCUUGCUCUUUCUCUCACACUAUUUACACAAACUCUCUUUUCAGUACCAAAAGCUUUAUAUAUGUUAAUAGAUGAGUUUGUGAGUAAUGUUUCAGUGGCUUAUUUUAGGAGUCUCACAAUUUGAUUUUUGUUCCAUGGUUAGGGCCUAGAGGAGGCAUUUGCCCCCAUUUGUUCAUUCAUUUGAUUCAGAUUCAAGUUUUGGUCUUAGGUGUUACAAUUUCAAUUACUUUGUAUUCGAGUUGGAUAAAUACCUGUAAUUUGGAUUAUACCUACUCAAUAUAUAUGCAUUAUCUUCUCUGAGUAACUUUUUGUUUAUGGAGCUUGUUGAGGGUAUUAAAUGAUGGUGUUAGUAUUUUGGUGUCCAAGUCAUUUGAUGAAAUUCAUGAAACUUGUAUUAUGUCAAUUAGAAUAAAUGAAGCUGUUUUGAUUGGGUCACAGAAGAAACUUUUGAUGUGCCAACUAAUUAUUGAUCGGCAUGGUCAAUUGUCUUGGGAAAAAGGUACACUAUAUGAUAUGAAUCUUUUUAAAAAGUGAUUUUAUCAUUAUCAUUGUUAUUAUUAUUAUUAUUAUUUAACAUAAGGAUUUUAUUAUUGUUAUUAACUUUAAAGCAUUAAUAGUAGGGUAAUAAUAGACCCUUAGAUUUGUAUGUUUUAAUCAUAAUCAUCCAGCCUCCGGUGACCAAAUUCACUGCAGAAGUAGCUUUUGUUCCUGCUGCAUGGCGGGUUUUUUUACCAGAAGUUUUGCAUUUCCCCUCCAGAAACUAGUUCAAAUAAUCAAUUAACGUCACCAUGCAAUCAAUAGGACAUCCCACUAGCUAUGUUCAUGUUGCUAGUAGAUGUACAUUGGAUUAUUAUUUUCUUGUGGUUGAAGAUUCAUCUGAACCAAAUGGACCCAUGUGUAAUAAAAAUAAAUAGAUAAAUAACAAAAACGCAGAAGCACAAACAGAAAAUUUAAUAUUUUUCUGACAAAAUAAAGAGAUAGGUGGGGGCAGUGGAAGACUGACUUUUGAUGAUUCUUUGUCCGCCAUUAGAGAAUAACUGCAACCAAACCAUGUUUUUCACUUCAAUUAUUAUUAGUAUUAUCAAUAAUUAGGGCUUCUUUAUCAACAUCGACCUUUCACUCAAAUUCAACAGCCAAAGUUGCCAGCGGGUUGUGCUCGGCUGAUCAAAAGCAAGUAGUAUAUGCAGGGGAAUGUAAUCAUAGAUAACGCCUUGCACAGCCACGUUCUCUAUCAUUUUCUCAUUUACUUUUUAAAAAGUAAUUCAAUUUGAGGAUAGAACUCAAAUUAAUAAGGAAUUAUUAUCAAAUCGAAUAGAAUAACAACAAUAAUUUAGAUUAGCAGAGAGGUGUUAUAGGAUAAACAAUGCUUGUGAAGAAUCCAAUUUUAAAUAAAAGAAUUUCACAUAUUGUAUUUUAUCUUUUCUCUUUUUACUUUUUUUAAAAUUUAAAAUAACCCUUUUAAAUGUUUGUCAAUCAGUAAUAUAAUUUUUAAAAUAAUUAAAAUUUUUACUAAUAAAACUAACGUGCACCAUUGAUUAAAUCUAAUGGUAUAUAUUUAUUAUAUUAUUGAUUUUGUAAAAAAAAUUAUAGCAUUAUACAGGGACCACAAAACUAUCGUUUUCUACUGAAAAAUUUAAAAUUUAGUCAAAUAUGGUCAAUCCUAGAUUUCUAUCAUAAAUUUCUUGAUAGAAAUAAUUUCUAUCACCAUCCUAUUGUACAUUUAUGAUAGAAAAUAAUUUUAUCAUAAGUCUAUCAUUAAUCCUUGAUGGACAGUGAUUCUAUCACGAAUUCGACAUUAAUCCUUGAUAGACCUAUAAUUGUAUCACAAGUCCAUCAUAGUUUUAUGACAUAAGCCAUUUUGUUUAGAAUCUAUCAUAAAAUAUUUGUUAUCUAUUGCUAGUUUUCUUAUAGUUACAUAAACUUAUUUUACAUAAUUAUGUUCAAAAAGAAAGUUUAUGUGAUAUUUUAAAAAGGAUUUCUUUAUAAUACUGUAUGUAUUUUUACAGCAUUGAUAGCGGGAUUAAUGUGGACCAUUAGUUUUAAGUAUCUUAAUCUCAAUCGUCAAUUUAAUAUAAUGGAUAAUUAAAUAAUUAUUGAAAAUGUAGCAGGUAAUUUACAAGUUGCUGGAAAAUAUUUUUUUUAAUUUUAAAUUAAUAUUAAUUUGAAAAAAAAGCCAUACAAACCCAAAGUUUUGCUCAAAUAGCUGUACAUAUCCACUUAGUUUCAUAAAUGGUAAUAAAGACCCCUUGAUUUUCAUUAAUGACUAUUAUAUAUUUUGAUUUAAACAACCUAAGUAAAUAUAAAUAUAGUAAUAAGAUAAUAAUAAUAAUAAAUAUCAUAUGAUGCAAAUAAAAUAUUACAAUAAGUAUAAUUAAUAAAAUAACUUGUAUAAUGAAUUUUUUUAAUAUUAAGUUACUAUUAAUCUAUCCCGAUGGAUUUAUUAAAAUCUACUAAUUCAAAAAUUAACUUUAAGAUAGAUAUUAAUACAAAUAUAAUUAGAAAAGAUAUUGUAAAUAAAACACUAUAAAUUUUUAUAAAUUGAUGUGAGUGUUAGGUAUAACUAUUUCAAUAUUCUAUAUCAUACAUCAUACUUAAGAUGUUGAUUUUGUUGAAGUGUUAUGUUAUUAAACAUUAAGCUUUGCAUUUAUAAUGUGCUACAACUUUAAUGUAAAAUGUAAUUGAAAAAAUCAAAACAUUUUUUAGUAGUCAAUUGUAUUGUAAUAUGAUCAAAUUACGACAGAGUUAUCAUAUAUUUCAUUGUUGAAUAUGCAUAUGAUUCUUAUUGAAUACAAAGGUGCAUCAUUAUGGAUAGCAUAGUUUCAUCAUCAUCAUCUUGCAUCCAUUUUAAAAAAAAUAGAAAUAUAGACCUAAAAGAAGCUAAUGGAGGAAGAUCAACGGUCCUGAAAAGUUGUUCCAUAAAUUUAAGCCUACGGUGAUACGUAUUUCUAGACUGAUACUCCAAGUAACUUAGGGCAUGUUUAGUAUCAUUUUGUAGUCCCUAUUUUAAUUUUAAUUUUAAUAGUACAUGUGUAAUAUAUGUUCGGCGAGCCUAAACCUUAAAUCAAAUUAUAAAAUGUAUUAAACAGAAUUUAUUUGAUAGUAAUAAAAAUAAAAACAUGUUAAACACAUUUUUUGUAAAUUACAAAACGAACUAUAAAAUAAUAUACUACACGUCCUCCAAAGCAUAGCGAAUAAAUUAUAUUUUACAAACACAUAUAAGACAUAUGUUAAGUUAGUAGAGUUGAUUUCUUGUAGUCAUUAAGACAUGAAUUGAUACCCCCCCCCCAACACACACACACACAUAUUGAGUAUUUCUAUCUACCCCUAUUUAUUAAUAGAAGGGAAAUUAAAAUCGUAAAUACCUCGAUAUAUUAUGAAUUGAUAUGUUGCAUACAAAUAUCAGUGAAAAUUAAUUUUUAGAUUAAUGAAGUAAACCAUAUAUAGGCAUUUAAUUAAUCUAAGGUCAAAUGAAAUAUAUCACAUGACAUUUCAUGAAGUAGUCCAGUUUUUAAAACUUGCAUAUAGUUUUGUAAGUUAAUAAGCCAAUGAAAUAUACCACAUGAGAAAUUGAAGAGCUAUUAUUUAUAUUUCACUGUUGGACAAAUAUGGAUCUUCCAAUUCUUUUCCAUGGCCAUAAAUUAAAAUAAAAAAAUCACAUAGUAGAGACUACAUCCAUUCGCAUGCUCUCAAAAUAGAUUUUGAAAUUAGUUUUGCAAGCUUUCAAAAUAAAUUUUGAAAUUAGUUUGAUUACAUGAUAAUCAAAUUAUCUUAUAACAUUAAAGAUAUAAUUUAAGCACUAUUUUAGCAAUUGUGAGUUUUACAUUAAAUCUUCAAAUUAAUUACAUAUUGUCACUCUUUCUUAUUUUGCUUGAAAUUUUUAUUUAAUAAAAUUACGAAAAGUCGAUAAUGAAUGGUUUAACAUACAUAGGUAAGAUAAACUUUAAAAGUCUAAUGAAACAUUCCUAUGAAUGUGGGUUUCGUAUGCAUGUUCAUAUAUUUUAUUGAAUUUUGUGUUAUUAAACGAAAUAUGUUAUUCAAGUGAAAAUGUGAGAAUAUUCAAAACUAUAAGGGUGGUCAUUGAAAUUUUUCAUAAUUCUACCAAUUCAACGGUCCAACAUUUUUUUUAAAGAAUUCCGAACAGUUUAGCCACUUUAUGAACUGGUUAUGUUAUUUUAAAAAUAAUUAAUUUUUUUAUUAAUAAAUAUAAUGUGCACUAUUAAUUAAAUUUAAUAAUUAAUAUUACUUACACUAUUAAUACUGUAAAAAAAUUACAGUAUCAUAGAGGGAUCCUUUUAAAAAUAAUGAGGUCUCGGUCUAACCAUACCGUGAAACCAUGAAGAUGUCCACUAUCUAACUUUCCCUUGUUAUUUAUUGUGGAAUGAAAACUGACCGAAUGAAAGGGCAAAAGUAGUUAAUUUUCUGCAGGUAAAAGGGCAAAAAAGUACUUUUGUGCCAAUAUUAAUAAAAACAUUAAUGUAAGUGACGAAUAAAGUAAGGGAGGGAUUAUGUUUAUGUUGCGCGUGAACAAAGGGACAGCAGCGAGAAGCUGUAGGGGACUCUUCAGGCAAACAGCUCACUGGAAUUGGAUCUUACAUUUAUUUUUUAAAUUUAAUUAAAUGAAAAUGCGAGAAAGUGAAUGGCGUGCGCAUUACGCACCUACCCCAACUUUAUGGUCAUUUGAUACUCCACCACCAAUUAUUAGAUCAGAGCUAGCGUCAGUCCCUUUGGGAGCGGCUGACGCAGUCGCUGCUUCUAGGGGGGACAAGUGUUCUUUUUCUUCUUUUGUGCUUCAUUAAAUGAUGGAUUAUAGGAUCCACCUAUAUAUACCAAGUCAAUGAUGGAUUAUUGAAAUCUAUGUAUCAAAAGAAAGUUUUUUUUUAUUUAUAUACUCUUUCUGUAAAUUAUAGUUUUUCUACCAAAUUAUAUAAUUCAUCAUUAAAAUGGAAGAGAUAAAAUCACAUUUAUAUAGAGUUUUUAUCUAAUGAAAAUAUUUUAUUUUAAUAAAAUAAAAAUAUCACUAUAUGUAUUCAUUAGAACUGGAUAUUUAUUUUUUAAAAUUUAAUUAAUUGAAAAAGUGAGAAAGUUGAAGAAGCAUGGGCAUUAAACAGAAAAAGAGAGAGAGAGAAAGAGCGUGUAACAGAAAAAGAGACAGUAGUGGUCCGGUGACUCGUGUCGGCUUCGACCAAACAUUGACGAUGUAUUCAUUCACAUAUUUUUUCUUGCAAUUCAUAUUUUAAUAAAAAUAUUCAUUUACUUCCAUCUCAUUCCAUCUGCUCGAUCCACAGCCCUAAUUCAGCUCGCAGGUACCCUCUUGCUUUUCCUUUCCUAUGCUUCAGAUUUAGUUUCUUUUUAAAAUUUUCUAGUUCCUGCUUGGGUGCUGAGAAAAUGGAAGAAAAUGAUGGAUUUUUAGUGAAACCUUGUGCUGUUAUUAAUUUAUUCGAUUGCCCAUUACAUGUUUUUGCGUUUUGAGUAUAGAUAUGUUGUUAAUUAGUGAAACCAAGUCCUGGUUUUCACUCAACCGAAAAGUUUUUCUUUCUUUUUCUUUUUGGGUUUUUAUUAUUAGAUCCUAAAUAAUUUCUUGCUUUGUUCAUCUCAUGUGUUUGUGUUACUUUUAGUGAAUUGUUUUUGUUAAAUCACGAUCUGGGUUUUACCCUUUUUUUUAUGCAUUGAAAGUUGUGUACUUCUUUUGUUUUUUAGUAGCCUAUAUUUUGAUUAUAUUUAUAAACUUUUUUCAUGAAAAUUUGCCGUUUUUAUGCUAGAAAGUGAUGAAAAGCUUCAUUUGUGUCACUUUUUUUUUUUUCAGAGGUGCAUAGUUAUUUCCCUGACAAAUUGGCGUUAAAGGUUUAAAAGCCAGCUUUUUUUGGGCUCAUUAAAGGCUUAAAGCAGGGCUAUACUGACACAUUAAAGAGAGUAACUAGAGCCGUUGGUUAGAUAAAUCUGAACAACCUGUGACAAUAACAAGUCAUAGAAGUAAAUGCAGCAUUUUAAGGCAAUUUUAGUUGAUAGUUUUUGUUGCUGAGAAUCUUGUAGUGGGUUUGUUUUCAGUACAGCAUAGUCCCUUUUAACUUGGGGCUUUUGUUUGUAGGUUGAUCAAGUGACUCUUAAGGGUUUGUUGUGCUUCUGUUAUGUCAUUUGCGGCUGCGGCAGCGCCUUUGAAUCACGCCUCUGGAGGUCCCUGUACGUGUUUACUUCAAUAUUUGCGAUUUGUUGAUGAUUCAUUAGUGUCAAAUGAUGUACUGUUCAUUGGCAUCUUUAUGUAUUGGUUGUAUUACUUUCAAAUUAGAGAUGGAAUCUGACUGAGGCAAAUGGAUUACAGGGUUAAUGUUUGUUUGCACCUGAUAUAGUGUAUGACUUGCACCAUGGCUUAUGUAACUAUAAAUCUUCUGCAGUUUCUUAAUUGUUGCAGUUAAUUGUGUUUGGUUGUUCUCAAGAACAGUUCUUUGAUUCUGAGAGCAUGCUUUUAUCAUAAUUGUUUCAAUAUAGAAGCUAGAAGAUUCUUUUGGGUACACAGCACACAGUAUCAGAUGAUUCGCAUUUUUUUUUCUUAGAUAUGAAAGUUAUUAUUAUUCUUUUCGAACUUUUGAAUCCUAACCAGACCAAUAUUGUGUGACAGUGCGCUUUCUUAUGAAUUUACGGUUUUGAACUUUUGCUUUGAUUUUGAUCUGUACCCAAUUUCAUGAUGGCUGAUAAAUGAUAAUAAGGUAUAUUUAGGGAUGGCAAUUGUACCCGCAAACCCGCAAACCCGUCCAAAUCCAUCCGCCAAAACCCGCCCGUUGCGGGUAAUUUUAUCCGUUGCGGGCGGGUUUAGUAUUAUAAAUUAAAACCCGCACAUGGAUGCGGGUGGGUUUGGUAUUAACCUUAUACCCGAUGGAUACCCGCAUGGAUAUCCACCAAACCCGCAAUAAUUUUUUUCAAAUAUUUUUAAUUUAAUUUAAAUAUAAAAAUAUAUAAAGAAAAUAAUGUAAUUAAUCAAAUUACCAAAUAGCCAAAGGCUCAAAGUUGUGUAUGUGUGUAUAUGGCUCAUCUCUUAUUCUAAAGUUAUAACCUAAAGAAAACUAAAGGCAUUUCCCUUCGAAUUAGUAUUUGAAAAUAUUAAUCUUAAUUAUUAUUAUAGGCAUUGUGUUAGAUGGGUGCUUAUGGUGGUGAAUAAAAUAAAUAUAUUCUCUUUGAUCUUGUUUUAAAUGAUAAUAUGAAAUGUAAUUAUUAUUUUUAGAUAUUAAUUUGUCUUUUUUAAAUAGAUUUGUAUAGUUUAUACUUAAAUUUGAGAAUUUGUGUUGAAUUGAUGUGGAAAUUUUAAUUUUUCAUUUACAUUGUUUAAAUAUAAAAUUGAAUAUGUUAUAUGGAAUUUGAGGUUAUUAUUAUAAAUUUAUAUAUUAAAUAUUUGUGAUUUUAAAUACGGAAACCCGCAAAAAAUCCGCCGGAUACCAUUGCGGGUUUGGUAAUUGUUAAAACCCGCUGCGGGUGGGUUUUUUUUAAAAAAUUAAAACCCGCUGCGGGUUGCGGGUGGGUUUGGUAAUUUAAAUUUUGUGCGGGUUUGGGUUUGGUAAUGGCAAACCCGCUGCGGGCGGUGCCCAUUGCCAUCCCUAGGUAUAUUUUGUCGGGGACUGGGAUAGUAAUUUUGUCUUCAUGUCAUCGCAGUGUGUUGUAUUUUAUGAUCUCAUUGAUAUGUUUGGGCGGUUUGUGUUUUGCUCACUUUCUUCCUGUCCCAGCUUUAUUUUCUGCUUACUUUGUCCUUUGUGUUCACUUUAUAGGGGGAUCCAAUGAUGCACUGUACAGGAAAUUAUGGCAUGCCUGUGCUGGACAUCUUGCAACCCUUCCUUGUGAAGGGGAGCGAGUUUAUUACUUUCCGCAAGGUCACAUGGAACAGGUUUGUUGACCUUUAACUGGAAUCUGUCUCUGUUUGAGUGUUCUUUUAGUUUAUAUGAGUUUACUAUUAUAGAAUGACAAAUAUGAAUACCCUAUUAAAAAUUGCCAAACACAAAAAAAGGAAAAAAAAAAGAAAAGAAAAGAAAAGGAACAAAGUGUAGAAAACACCCAAAUUUUUUAACAGAAGAAUUUAAUGUGAACUUAUGCAUUCCCCUGUUUGAGAGUUGGUAAUUUAUGUUCCUCAGACAUGAUUUGCUUUAUUUCAGUAUUUUAUCAACUUCCUUGCUUCCAAUGCUUUAUUUCAUUGGUCUGGAAAAUAUCUAUCUAUCAUCAUUUGCAGGUUAAUAAAUUUUUUCUUUCAAUGUCAUAGGGACAAGAAAGUUUCAAUCAUAUUUUAACUGAUGCUAUUUUUGAAAUUUUCAGCUUGAAGCAUCGAUGCAUCAGGAGUUGGAGCAGCAAAUGCCCUCAUUUAAUCUGCCAUCUAAAAUUCUGUGUAAAGUGGUUAAUGUUCAGCGACGGGUGAGUAAUCUCAUGAUCAUUCUAUUAUUUUUUGGGGAGCAUGUCAGUGUUCUUAAGCUCUGUUAAAAAGUUGUUUCCAUUUCUAAGUCCUUACUUCGGUUGCUCUAUUUACUUUGACUGUAGGCUGAACCUGAAACGGAUGAAGUUUAUGCACAAAUAACUCUGUUGCCUGAACCUGAUGUGAGCUUUCUUCCUUUGGCUCUAAUCUUUUAAUUAGCUGAUUUAGAAACUACUAAAUUUGUUAGCUUGUUAUAGUUGCUUGCAAUUCUUACAGUUUUCUUUCUUUCAUGUCUGUCUGUGUUAAUUUCACCAGCAAAGCGAGGUUACCAGCCCAGAUCCCUCCCUCCCAGAGCCUGAAAAGUGCACCGUUCAUUCAUUCUGUAAGACAUUAACUGCAUCUGAUACGAGCGCCCAUUGCGUGUUCGCCAUUCUUCGUAGGCAUGCAGAUGAUUGUCUUCCCCCAUUGGUUAGCUUCAACCGUGAAUCCAUCAUUUUUGUGUCAGAUACUACAGGAUGAUAUGUUGUAUUUAUAACUUAUUUGACCUGCCUGUCUCCUUGAUCAUUUCAGGAUAUGUCCCAGCAGCCACCUAGGCAGGAACUAGUUGCAACUGAUCUGCACGGGAAAAAAUGGCGUUUUCUGCACAUUUCCCAAGGUUUGGCUUCAACUUCUCUGACUGGAUAUAACACUUUGUUGCUUAAGUUGAAGCAGAAACAUUGCUGCAGCAUGCUUUAUUUUUAAAGUUUGCCUGGUUCAUGUAUUUUGUUAAUUAUUGUAUCCAAUGUAUUAUAAAUUACACAUGGUUUCUGGAAAUUUGAGGAUUUUGAUACAAAGUCAAGGUUUCCUAUCACAGGUCAGCAUCACUUGCUCACCACUGGGUGGAGUGAGUUUGUUAGUUCCAAGAAAUUGGUAGCAGGCGAUGCAUUCAUAUUUCUGAGGCAAGUACUGGUAUAUCUAAUAUGAAACGAAGUAUGUUUUGUUUCGUUGCUUUAUUUCCUAUAUUUAUCGUUUUCGCUAUUGAUAACUGUUUCAGAGGGGAAAAUGAGGAGCUGCGUGUUGGGGUAAGGAGGCACAUGAGGCAGCAGACAAAUAUGCCAUCUUCAGUUACAUCUAGUCAUAGUAUGUAUCUUGGCGUACUUGCAAUUGCUUCUCAUGCCAUUGCAACUGGAACGCUCUUUUCAAUCUUGUACAAACCAAGGUAUUUUCCUUUGUGCAAUUUGAAGUUUGACAAGUGAAACAUUUCCAAUUUCUGAAUUGAGAGAUAGAGUAAAACUUAGGACUAAAUGCCCAAAGCUCAAUGUACAGGCAUGAAAAAAGUUUUUAAAGAUGUUGUGUUACAAACAUCGAAAUUUGCCAGUACUUCUAUAGUUUGGGCUUUUUUUAAAAAAAAAAUCCCUCUAUGUUCUAUCAUGCUAUGUAUUUUUCGAAUUAUCAUUAUUAAUAUUUUUCAAUAAAAUAUUUUUGACAUAAAAUAUAAUUAUGUGCCAGAACUAGCCGGUCUGAGUUCAUUGUAAGUGUUAACAAGUAUCUUGAAGCUAAAAAACACAAGCUUUCUGUUGGGAUGAGGUUCAAGAUGACAUUUGAGGAUGAGGAAGUUCCUGAACAAAGGUAACCUUCCUUUCUAAUUUAUUUUUGUAGAAGAGGAAGUUAAAUAACAUUUAUUAACCAAUUUUAUCAUUGUUCCACAGGUUCAGUGGUACUAUAGUAGGAGUUGGGGAUUGUAAAAGUUCAGUGUGGCCAGAUUCAGAGUGGAGAUCCUUAAAGGUUAGCAAGUUCUUUUCCUAUACACCAAGUUAGUUUUGAAUUCAUUCAAAGAAUUUACUAAGGUGGCCAUUCCAAUAUUCCACUCAGUUUUAUCCACACUUUUAUACUGAUCAAAUUAAAUAGUGGCUUUUAAAAUUACGAAUUUUUGAGAAGAUUAGGUGUUUGUUUCCUUUGUAACCGGUCAAAUAUUUCUGUGUUUUGAAUUUUGGCGGGGGAAACUCUGUGUGGCCUGGUUGACUUUAUCAUGUUUCAAUUUUAUGUUAGGUUCAAUGGGAUGAACCUUCAUCAAUCUUGCGACCAGAAAGAGUAUCAUCGUGGGAAUUGGAGCCACUUGUUGCAACUACAACUACUACAAAUGCUCAACCAGCACAAAGGAACAAACGGCCACGACCAUCUGUUUUACCAUUGCCAGCUGCAGAUAUCUCUGUCCUGGGUAUUAUAGCUUUAGAUAUGAUGCAUCUUCUUCUUAUUCUUCUUUACUUUAGUUGCUAAUCUUGUCUUUCUGCAUUUAUGUGGAAAUCUCACGUUGAAUCUUCAGCUUUCUCAUACUGUGACUCACCGCAAGGACGCGACCUCUAUGCAUCACCUAAGUUUUCCACUGCCACAAAGGGCAACCAUUUUGGUUUUAGUGGAAAUAACUCACUGGCUGCUGUUUCCAGCAACUCAAUGUACUGGCCUAACCGUGCAGAAAAUGUAACAGAAUCAUUUACUCCAGUUGUGAACAAAGAAUCCAGUGAAAAGAGACAGGGCAAUGGGAACACCUGCAGGCUAUUUGGCAUUCCGCACGUUGACAACUCGAAUGUAGAAGAAGCUUCACCUGCUUUUACCAUGUCUGGAGCAAUGGGGGAUGAUCGAGCAAUUCCAUGUUUAGAUGCAGACUCUGACCAGCAUUCUGAACCAUCAAAUAUUAAUCGAUCUGAUGUUCCUUCUGUAAGUAUGCAGAGAAAUCGUGCCUGAGAUCUCCUCAGGAGUCUCAAAGCAGGCAGAUUCGAAGUUGCACAAAGGCAAUAUGGUUGCUUUCUGUUUUAACUUUCCUUUCUUAACAAGCUAGCAUGCAUUAGAUAAGAUCUCAGAAAGGGCUUUAUUUUCCUUUUGAAAUUUUAGUUUUUGUCUGCCUGUCAGGCAUCCUCUCUGUCUAUGGAACCGGUUUAUAAUGUCUCUCCGAAUGGGAAAUUUAGAAGAAGAAUAAUGUCAUGGCAAAAGGGUGAGCUUUUGGGAAGUGGGUCAUUUGGGUCUGUGUAUGAAGGCCUCACUGAGUAAGUGAAAUCUGUUCCUGUAUUAAUGUUCUUGGAACUUGUGAAAAGGAGUUUUAUUGUUCUGAUUGUAUUUCAAUACCCAUUUGGUUACAUAGCCUUAUUGAUAUGUACCUGCCGAAGGUUUUUAAUAAGUUAAAAGGGUGUACAAUGUCGGAUUAGAAGGAAGUUUCUAGGAACUUAUUGAAUACUUUUUCUGCUUUCUGAACAAUACUACAGGAAAAAGUGAUAGACUUCAUGAUGAGACCUCAAUGGGGUUUUGAGUAUGCAACCUGAAAAUCUCCUCGUCUUAUUUCUCAAGAUAGUCAUGCAAGAUGAAUUCAAUUUCAUUUUUUGAGGCAGAUAAAUUUGGUGAUGAGCUAGAUUGGAUAUUCUUUUCAUAUUCUUACUUGAACAAUGAACUUUUGCAACUGUUUUACCAUUUUCUUCUAAAUAUUUCUAAGAUUUUGAGGUGUAUUUUAUUUGUUUUGCAAUGAAUCCAUAUUCUGAAAGUGGUUAGUUUUAUAUUUAUGUGGUCAGACUUAAAAAGAUUAACUUGGCCUUGUGUGCCAUCUUUGAUAUGCAUGUUUAUGUGCAAGCAUCCAUGAGCAUAGACCUAUUUUUUUUUUUUUUAGCAACUUCUCUCAUGCUUUCUGGUUUGUUUGCAGUGAUGGAUUCUUUUUUGCUGUGAAGGAGGUUUCUUUGCAGGAUCAAGGAGCUCAGGGAAAGCAGAGCAUUCUUCAACUUGAGCAGGUGGGAUGAUUAGUCUUGUCCUACUGGGACUCCAUUACAUGUUAUUCUGUAGUCUUUUUCUCUGCUUUAAAUUACAAAUCAUGCAGUUGCAUAUUUUUAUCCUGCCUCUAAAUAGCUACAUGGCAAGAUCAUUUCUCUAAUAAUAUGUUUAUUGGCUCAGGAAAUUUCUCUUUUGAGUCAGUUUGAACAAGACAACAUAGUUCAAUAUCUUGGCACAGACAAGGUAUGCGUCUAUCCUCCGUGCUUGCUUUUUUUUACCUUUCAUUUCCUCAUAGUAAUAUUUGUGAAGUGAGGGUUAGAACUGUGUGCUUGUAAUGACAUUUAUAGACCCCUAACACCUAUAAUUUCUGGAAUUUGAAGCACUGUGAAUUAAUGCAUGUUAUUGACCUUAGCACUAUUUGAAUUUUUUUUUCCUCUUUUAAGUGAAAUUAUACUGUCAUUGUCCUUAUCAUUAACAUAAUCAAUUGGAUUAAGUAGUCAUACUUGACAGGAAAUACUUCAGAAUCAAAGUUUUAUGCUACAAUUAAAUCGCCAGUAUUCCCAAACUAUCCAUAUACCCGUGGGGAACUUUAUUAUUGCCAGCUUUAAUUUCUUCCUGCUACAUUUAGUUGUGCAAUUCAUUAUUAUCUGGCAUUUCAGUAUAUAUAAACCUAUCUCAUUUGUUAAAGUACACAAAGAACAAGGAACUUCCCACUAGUCCUAAAUUUGAAGAAAUGUGCAGCCCUGUUGCACACUGUGUGUGGCAUAUUAACUAAUUUUUUGAAUUUCUAUGGAAUUUGUCUCUGUUGUAUUAAAUUAUCCUUUUAUAUCUGGUUGUUUAGGUGUGCUUAUUUCAUUUCUGGCUCUUUAAUUCUAAGUCACCAAAUGAUCUCAGGAUGAAAAUAGGCUUUAUAUCUUCCUUGAGCUUGUAACGAAGGGUUCACUUGCAAAUCUUUAUCAAAAGUACCACUUGAGUGAUUCUCAAGUCUCUUCAUACACAAGGCAGAUCCUGAAUGGCUUAGCAUAUCUUCAUGAGCGGAAUGUGGUUCACAGGUGAUAUAAUUGAUUUGGCUGCUAUAUUCUCAGUUCUUUUUCCUUAUCAUGUUGUGUCCUCUCAAUAUUCCACAUUUUAUGUCAAGAUGUCUCAGUGCAAAUAGAUGUAGCAUUCAUGAUUGUUUAUGCAGAUAGGAAAUCAGUUCUUUCUCUUGCUGUUUGUUUGCAAUAUGUGAUUAUUUAUACCAUUCGUUUUCUUUCCAAAAAUGCAGCUUUUUGGAGCUCAAUCUUUAAAACUAGUCUGGAAACAUGCAUAUUGUUAAGCAUUUCUAUUGUUGAUACUUUGUAAAUAAUUUCCUGAUGGUAUUAGAAAUAAGAUGUUGCAGAGUAAAGGUUGAGAAAAUUGGUAGAAACAAAGAGAAAAAGGUAUAAGCAUACAGAAAUAACAAAAGAGCAUUUAAAGUAGUAGGAUGUUUUGUAAACAGCUAACCAUGUUGAAUAUGCAUUUUGAAGAAAUAAUUGCAAUCAUAACCAUUUGCAGAUAGUUUUAAUCCCUCACAAGGAAAAUUACAUUCUCAGUUGCUGCAAAUCAUGGAUAUUGGUUUCAUUCAAGGUUAAACAGAAGAUAGCACUAACGGAGGUUGUUAUUUGUAAUUGAGGGAAAGUUUGCUUAACUGUUAUCAUCUUGCAAGUGUUAAUCAUAACUUAGCUGCUGCAGAGUUUCAACAGAAUAAUAAUCUAGUAUCUUCUUAGUGCGUGUACUGGGGAUGAAUUUAUAGACAAGGUGAAUCUCAGUUGAUGAGAGUAAGAAAUUCUUCUCUCAGCAAAAUGUUAUAAAAAUGCUCAUUCAGAUAGCUCACUGAUUGUUUACAGACUUACGAAAAUUGUUAAAAAGCGCGUGGAGAUGAAUAAAUAGCUUGUGUGAAUUAUUUUUUAAAGAGAAAAAAUGAAAUCGAUUUCCAGGCCAGUUAUGUAGCCGGUCUAUUUUUUGGGCUAAUAUAAUUGUGGCAGGUGAACUUAGCAAUCACACUUGAAAGUUGCUUUUGUUAUACUAUUUUAAGUAUGUCUCUUUUAAAAUUUGUCUCUUUUCAUUUUCAAGGGAUAUCAAAUGUGCAAAUAUAUUGGUAGAUGCUAGUGGAUCAGUAAAACUUGCGGAUUUUGGGUUGGCAAAGGUAGUUAAUCUCUCCCCUUCUUUGUGAAACUCAUGAAUGCUACUGAAUUUAAUGCAAUAUAUUUGAUCUUUUCAGGCAACUACAAUGAAUGAUCUCAAAUCCUGUAAAGGAACACCAUUCUGGAUGGCCCCUGAGGUUUUCCUCUUCUGUUGUAGUCUGAUUUAUAUAGACAAAAUCUGAUCUAUUUUCUGAAUGUCCAUCAUUCACAAUCGAAUUUGCAUGGUCUAAUGGUUUAACUGAUCUACUUGUUUAUAACCAUUGAUAUCUUGGUCAUUGUCAAAUUUGAGAGCUCUGGGACACAUAAAAUCUAAUUUUUCUUACCUUUUAGCUUGACAUGUUUGCCGCAGUUUUUAGGAGGUUAAUUUUUGAAUUUGACGCUACUGUGUUUUUAUAGCUUGCUUUUGUAUAGUUUUAAAGAUUGCAAAUCAGAUCCUCUACCUUCUUUCAUUUGAGUUUUGAAACAUUAUCUGCUCCCGUUCAUUUGAAGUUGAUGAGAAAAAGCCUCUCUUUAAUGUAGAUGGAGUUAAUACUAGUCCUAUAGUUGGUAUUGGUACACACAUUCAUAAAAAAUUAUCGCCCAGACAUAGGACCAAAAACCUGGAAACUGGCUCAUGGUAAAGAGUAAACAUCUUUUCAUAUAUCAUAUUGACACAUACCGAAUAUGUUUCUAUUAGACAUUUCAGGUUAACAAGAUUAGUUUUGCUUUUUAGGUUGUGAAUUCAAAGAACGACGGCUAUGGACUAACUGCUGAUAUAUGGAGCCUUGGGUGUACUGUGUUGGAGAUGUUAACCCGUCGGCCUCCAUACUCUCACUUGGAAGGCGUACGUAAAAAAAUUUCAUAUAUUAAAAUUGAUUUGCUUUCCCUACUUUUCCAUGUUUAUUUUAUAUGCCUGUUUUUUCUACUUUUCCAUGUUUUAUUUUAUAUGCCUGUUUUUUCUUGUUAAACAUCUUGUGAUUUGUAAAAGGUUGCAUCAGUUUUGAUAUGGUGCUUAGUUGUUGCAUAAUUUUGUGUGUUGGCAGGUGCAAGCAUUAUUCAGGAUAGGCAAGGGUGAGCUUCCUUCAGUUCCCAGCUCAUUAUCGAGAGAUGCCCGGGAUUUUAUUCUUAAAUGCUUACAAGUUAACCCAAAUGAUCGGCCUACUGUAACUGAACUAAUGGUGCAUCCAUUUGUAAAGAGGCCACUGCAAACUUCUAGGUGACUUCUCCUCAUUAUAACAUCAUGCAGUCUUGAAAGUUUGUGAUCAUGCUUUGGGGUUUACGUAUAUCCUAGAGGUAGUCUAGCGGCAUCAUCAAAUUUAAACUGCAACCUGUAGUUGUAGCUUUGACUUCUUGUUUGGACUUAAUAUCAUGGACACUGAAAAUAAUUGUUAAAUACAUUUAUAAACUAUCCAUUUGGGCUUGCAACUUCACUUUUCAAGCUUAUAGGGAACUAAGAAAUGGAGGAGCAAGAUUGUGAUGCAUCCAACUGCCUUGGUGAUCCAAAUUCACCGUAUGAAGGGAAUAAACAAGUUCCUCUAGAUGUUUUAAUGCAACCCCUUCCUGUUGAUAACUGGACAAACCUUGAGAGAUUAUUGCUUUUUAUACUGAUUUGCUUUGAGGUUAACCUACAAGUGGACAUUGUUAUUGUGUCGUUUGGUUCUAUAUAUUUUAGACUUGUGCUACUUUUUUUUAUUUUGCAUGCGUCCUUUGUUUGCAGGUGUGGCCAAGCCAAUUGCUAGUGCUUUUAAGAGAUUUGAGCUGAGGCACAUGUGGUGUUAAUACAAUGCUAAGCAUCUUUUGCCGUUGAAUCUACAUACCAGGCAAUUCUUGGCACGGAGAACAGAGAUGGUGCAUUCUAGGUGAAUAUGCACCAAGCACAACUGCUCAUGGUGUAAAACCGGAGAAACUGAUAUGGUGCACACAUCAGUGGCAUUUAAAUUGCCAGGUUUCCUUCCCUUCGUUCGGGCAAGGUUUUUUCUGUUACGGUUUUCUUUCCUUGGGCAGAGUGUUUUGACAUCAAUUUGGUGUAAUAACUCUUUUUCGAAAGUAAAAGUCAGUGCGUGUGAAAUUUUUAUGUUGCAUUUUAUGGUAAGAUCUCUCAAUAUAUGCUUAUGCAUAGGCUGAGAUGAUGUGUAAAUAUGUAGUUAGAUGCCGAUAUUUUGUGGUCUUGAUAAUCUGGAAUCUUAAAAUGUUGUUGUAAGAAAGCAAAUUGUUAUCAAUUUUUUGAAUAUUUUUCAUACACUACUUCCAGAUGUGGCACAGAGAAAACUGAAAUCUGCUACCUUGGAAAUUUCUUCCGGACGAAGGAUUGUGAAUUUCAGUUUUAGCAGAAAAGAAAUCCCUCUGCCUCUGCUAAGCCACUCAACUGAAGCUUCAAUAAGAGUUUACUCCUUGCAGAUACAAAUUCCAAGUGAUGUUUCACAAAUCAAACCUUUUCCCAGUAAAGCAUCUAUGAGGCUGUUGUAGUAGCUUAUUCCUUCUGGAUUAGGUUCCCCUGUUCCAUCUGUUAAAAGAUAAAUUCAAAAGCAACUAGUAAUUAGUCACAUCUGACAAAGAACUAUGGAAAGGAAAACUCAUGGCCUGUAUUUGUUUUCUUAACUUACUGGGAAAGAUUCUUGGCCAAGAUAUUGAGGAUUUGUAAGCAUCCAUUCCCAAAUACUUCAUCAAAUCUAUUUCACUCUGUAAAGAUUGUGUUUUCACCUUUCAAUUGUUAGCAAGAGACGGAUCAUACUUUUGGAUGACUUGUCAUAUUUUUUUCUUUUUUGACUUUUUCCAUAUUGUCUUCUUCGAAAACCUUUUCAUUUUCUUUUUUAUUUAUUUUUAAUUCUUUUUUUCUUUUAUUUACGGAAACGAGUAAUUCUAUUUUUGCGCAUAAAAUUAUUCGUGGCUGUAUGUUACGUGCAACACAACAAACUUUUUUUUUUCUCCCUAUUAUUUAAUGCUAAUCAAUUACAUUGGCAAAAAUACUCACUUAAAUUGAAUCUUUUUUACACAUACUGAAACACUAGUAGAAGUUUCCAUUAGUAGUAUCACUAAAAUAUAAUUGAACCUUUAGACAUACAGAUUAGUUAAAAAAAAUAAAAUAAAAUAAGAGUAGAUUACUUCACAAUUCUUAAGAUAUUGUAAUACCACAAAGAUAACAAAUUAAAAUAACAAGAGUUCAAUCUCUAAUUUUCUACCAUUUCCAUUCAUGUUAUGAAUUAUUGUUUCAUAUCAUAUUUUUAUUUACUCCUGUGAUUAAAGCAAACUGUAACGAGCAUAUCAAAAUCAUUCGAAUGAAAAAUUAAAAAUAGAAACUCAAGAAAAAAAAUGGAAAAAGAAUGAAACAUUGGAGAGGUUGCAACAAGUGACUGAUCAGGGUCAACAUUCAUAUUAGGAAGCAAACAAAAUGUUCAUGCAUAACAAUUUAAGAAAUAUUAAAGAGCCAAAAAACAAGGUCAUCACAGCUAAUCCAAAUAAUCAAAACCAUAUCUCAAUCCAUAAACAAUGACACGAGAUUACAUAAAAUUUGAGGAAAAAAGAAAAGUGCCACCAAAUUAAGCACUGGAGAGUGGAGAUUGAAAUUGAAAUUGAAAAGCGGAGACGCCAAAUUAAUUUGGCAUCACUUCCAAUUUAUCCAUCACCAUGUAAGUCACCACCCAUUAGUGGUAACUUUUAUCACAAACAUAACACUAAAGACAACACUAUUUUUUUUAUUUACAUAUUAGAUUUUAUAAACAUAGCAUAACAAUACAGAGCAUACUAUAAAUAUAUAGUAUCCAAAGCCGUUCAAAUUAAAUGUUAAAAUGACAGAGUCUGAAAAAAAGAGAAAACGUACAAUUCUAAAAUCUUAAGCUCUAGCGUUACCAAGGAGAACACUUGCCAAAAGAUUCUUGCAUUGCAUCGAUGCCUUCAGCAGCUUUAAACCACAACCAGUAACCACCAUUCAAAGAUUAGGGAAAAAAAAAGAUCCAGAUUAUUAAACAUAUGAUCCCAAGAAUUAAAUCACUAAGAAAACAACUUAAAAAUAUUACCUCAUCAAGGCCAAAAUUGAAAACUUUCUCCUAAAGGUUACCCAGAUCCAUAUCAAACUUUUCAUACAAAGUGACACUAGAGGUCACAUAUUUUUUUUUUUUUUAAAAAAAUGUCCACAGAUUGUGGAUAUUGAAAUAGAUGUUGAAGAGUGGAGACAUGAAAAAUUAGUGUAGAGUGGAGAUUAUAGAACGUUAAGCACUGAUUAAAGAAAAAAAUAAUGGCAGCGAGAGUUGAGAGUAGAGAAAGAGAGAGAGGAAAAUGAAGAAUUUUGGUUAGAGCGGCUAGGGUUUCUCAUGAAGUAAAAUAUGAAGUAUAUAUACUUUUAAUAAAAAAUUAAAAAUUUUCAAUUUUAUAGGUUAAAAACAAAGUAUUGUUAAAUAUUCCAUUUAGCGGGAGUUUUGCCUGCCUAAAUGAAAAAUUGUUCAUUUCAUUUUAAUUUACUUAUGUUAGUAAAUUAAUUUGAUAUAAUUAUACUUAUUUUAUAAUUUGUAUUCUAAAUGCUACUUAUUUUUUUAUUGUUAUAUUUCAGUGACACUUGAUUUAUUACUAAGAAAAUUGUAAUUGUGUCAUGCUUAAAAUAUAUAAUGGUAAAUAUAAUAAACACAACAUUAUUUAGUUGUAUUCAAAUUAUAGUUUUUCUUGUGGGUGCCACCUGAUUAAGGGUUGGAACUAUGCUCACAUAGAUGAGGAGGAAAUUGAUUGUUACUAUACUGAGGAAUAAGAAAUAAUUAUUAUCUAUGUUACAUUGUAAUUACAUUAUGAAUUUAGGUCGUUACAAUCAUGGGGUAUAAUUAUCUAAAAACAUGUAUAUAUAAUCAUUUAUAAAAAUUUGGCGUAUGUCCCAAGUUAAAUCAUGUGGAAGGUUCUUUUUUUUUUUUUUUUUUGGAAAGAAAGUACACCUUUAAUUGAAUUAAGAGAAAAGCACUUUUUUAAAGCCAACUUUGCCAAAUCAUGCGCUAAAAAAUUACACAUCCUAGGGACGUGCUGAGCUUUAAAAUUCUAAAAGAUUUUCUUGGCUUCUAAAAUGUCAAAAAUCACUCAAAAGGUCUCUGUCAAAGUGCUUCUCUUGUUAUUGAUUAGCUCUAUCACCCCUUUAGAAUCAGACUCUAAGAUAACUGAGGUUGCCCCUGCCUUGGCAGCUGCCUGCAUUCCCCACAAAAUAGCUUUUGCCUCACUCAACUCCACAUCUCCUGAGCUCUUAAAUGUGCUGACAGCUGCAACAACUGUUUCUCCCUUAUGGUUUUUAACUAUUGCUCCCAGCCCAACAAGAUAAUUCACCUUAUCCAUAGCAGCAUCAACAUUUACCUUAAGCCAUCCUUCUUUGGGUGGACUCCAUUGGCUUUGCUGAACAUUGUUUUGAUCUGUUAAGAAAUUCUCUUCUAGUUACUUUAUUCUUUUGACAGAUUCAGCAACUGUAACAGCUUUAGCCAUCAAUAUUACCGGGUCAUCAUAUUUUCCUUUGAAAAUGAGAUUAUUUCUAGCACUCCAAAUAAUCCACAAUAAAGAAGCUACCAGUUCACCACUCAUAUUCUUUUGCUGAAAAUGUGCAGAAUGCAAAGGGUAAUGACAUCUGGAAAAUUAGCCCCUUGAAGGACACUUCCCAGAGGUGAGUUUUUCCAAACCUUUCUAGCGAUUUUGCAGUCCACAAGAGCAUGAACUGUAUUCUCCCACCCACUCCUACACACUGGGCAGAUGGCCUCCUGCAUCACUCUUUUCUUCCAUAGGUUUUCUGCUGCAGGCAAGAUAUUCUUGGCUACUCUCCAAAGAAAAAUCUUUACUUUUUCAGGAAUCUUCAGCUUCCAUAUGACGUUCCACUGGCUUGGGUUCGGGUUGGAGCAGCUAGGAAUGCCUUUUGGCUUUUGUCCUAACGCCACUUGAUAGCCACUCUUCACCAGGUAUUGACCUCUCUUAUCAUAGUGCCAAAACAGAAUAUCCUCACUCUGCCUUCUCAGUAAAGGGAUUUGCACAGUGAGAUCUGCACCAUCUUUGCCAAAACAUUGAUAUAUGAUAUGUUCAUUUCAACACCUAUUUCCAUCAAUCAACUCAGGAACACAAGUUCCACUGGGCAGAUUUGGAGGGGUUGUGGGCUUAAAGGUUGUCGGCCUAGGGAUCCAGCUACUGUUAAAAAUAUUUAUAUGCUUUCCAUCCCCAAUUCUCCAUCUACACCCUUUUUUCAGCACCUCUCUUCCCCAUAAUAUACUUCUCCAAAUGUAGGAGGGUUUAGAGCUCAAACUAGCUUCAACGAAGGAUGAGUGCUUAAAGUACUUUGCUUUCAAAACUCGAGCCACUAGUGAAUCCGAGGCUUGAAUGAGUCUCCACCCUUGCUUUGCAACUAGAGCUUGAUUAAAACAUGAGAGGUCCUUAAAGCCCAAACCUCCUCUAAUUUUAGCUUGAUUCAAGUUUUCCCAUCUUGACCAAUGAAUACUUCUCUUCUCUUUAGUCGAACCCCACCAAAAUUUUGCUAUCGCUCCUAACAUAUCAUUACACAAACCCAAAGGUUCUUGUGGAAGGUGGAAGGUUCUUGCUCCUUGCUCCUUGCUCCUUGCAUAUUCAUCUUGACCAAUGAAUACUGCUCUUUGCUCCUUGCAUAUCAUUAGCUAUCGCUCCUUGAGGGGUCGUGGAAGGUUCUUGUUAACAAUUAUAUUUGGGCUCUCACAUGCCCCACCUUUAAAACACUGUAUUAUCUAUUGCAUGCACGCGCAUCCACAACAUAAAGCAAACUCAUUCUAUAAUGACAGUAAUAAAAUUUAAAAAUUAAGAUCUUGAAGUGAUUGUGGAGAAAAAUUUACAUAGAUCAAUCCUAGAGAGUAGGUUAAUCAUUGAUGUUCUCUUAUUUAACAGAGCAGUGGGUUCUAUAAAUUUUUAAUAUUAAAUUUUGAUAGUUGUAAGUUGGAACCAACUUGUUGAGAUCUCAAUAGUACUCACUUGUGAUCCCAUAAUCGGACCUACUGAAGUGGUAGGACUAACUUAUCGAAGUCUUUUUGGAAUUGCCAUGUUCAUGUGGCAAAAGAUGCCACGAAUCAACUGGCAAACACCACCAAGUCAGCGGGUGAUCCAAAAUCACCUGGUAUUGGAGAUGUUAACCCAUUGUCCUCUAUACUCUGGCUUGGAAUAGGUACGAAACACAUUAUCGUAUAUUCAAAUUGAUUUAAUUUCCCCAAUUUUGCAUGUUUUAUAUGCAAGUUUGUUCAUAUUAAACAUCUUGUGAUUUAUGAAAGUUGGCAUCAGUUUUGAUAUGGCAUUUAGAUUUUGCUUAAUUUUGUGUGUUGGCAGGUGCAGACAUUAUUCAAGAUAGCCAGGGGUGAACUUCCUCCAAUUCGUGACUCAGUAUCGAGGGAUGCCCGAGAUUUUAUUCUUAAAUACUUACAAGUCAACCCUAAUGAUCGGCCUAUUGCAGCUCAACUAAUGGAGCAUCCAUUUGUAAAGAGGCAGUUGCCAACUUCUUGGGGACUGCCUCUCCUCAUCAUUUCAUCAUGCAGUCUUGAAAGCUUAUGAUUAUCCUCUGGGUUUCAUGUAUAGGUAAUCUAUCAUGACCCAAUUUAGGGCUUGUUUGGUAUUGUUGUAGGGUGGUUGUAGGUUCUAAGUCAAAUUGAAUUUCUCCCAUGGUUGUUGUUUGGUAACGGAAAAAGGAGAAAAAAAUAGAGAGUGGAGGCAUUACUUUUAUCUCAUCCUUAACUUCCGUAAGUGAAGGAGAACAAAGGGGGAAAAGAGGGGAGUGGGGUGUUACCUUAAAAGGAUGAUUUAUUCAUUUUUUGGGGGGGCUCCAGGGCAUUUUUUCCUCUCUUCCUCUCAUGGAAAAUCCUUUUUUUUACACUAUUUCAUUUUUCUGCAAAUUACUUAAAAAUCUUUUGGUUUUUAAGGCAAUGUUUAUUAAGCCAUAUGAGUGGUGGCACAAGUUUUUUGGCAAAGGCCCAGAAACUGACUUGAACAUCGGAGGGUUCACGCCGGAAAAACUUUUGGCGCCUCUGACCGUCUUCUAUGAUUUCAGGUAUUCGCAGCUUAAUCGCUAGUGGUUGCAGGACAUCUUGACGAUUGACCAAUCGAUUCUCUACCAAAUAAAUCUAAUGCUGAUGCGGGAGUCUGGUAUCAAGUCGCUAACCGACUCAAUCGGAUUUCGGCAUCAAUAGUUGUUUGAUGAAAAACUUAUAAUACAUACACUAAUUUUGUGAAAAAUAUAAUUUAUGAAUCAUAUUAUUUAAACACAAUCAACUUCUAUAUCAUAAAUGCAUAUACAACACCAA